rnacentral:lncRNA from 1 species
GGGACAAAUUUGGUCCAUUUUUAACAUGAACUUUCAACAACACACUGAUAAAUCCGAUCUUUACUACUGUACAGGCUGAAGCAUCAGACGCCAUAUCAUCAAGUACUACUAAAACCAACAAAUCAUAAUCUUUAAGAUCAAUGGUGUCUAAACUAAGAACAUCAAAGGGCAUACAACACGAUCAAAUCAUAGUUUAAACAUCAUAUGUCAAACACAGGCAUGCAUCAGCAUGUACCAACAACACCUAGGGUGCAACACAAACAUCACUUAAAUUCGGUUUCUGCUUCCCAGCAUAGUUUCAGUUUCGCAACGACGCUGACACACAUGCAUCACUUCAGUUCCAUCGCAUCCCUGAAAGCAGCAAGUCAAUCAGAACAUUAGACAUACCAGUCAAACAAUUCACAACUACAAGAGUACUUCAAAUACUUUCGCAAGAAAGAAAAGGAACAGGGGGGAAAUAUGGCAUGGAGUCUGUUUCUUAUACUUCAUGAUCUGAAACAGAUGGACUCGCUCUCCUUUGUCAAAAAGUAUAACAAAAUUUAUAUGUGAUGUACUUGAGCCAGAUUUAACUUGAUGCAAACAGAGAAAAGCAAGCUCUAUCAUUAGGUCACAUAGAUAUCUCACAUCAAGUACUAGCACUGAAAACUCACGACUAAAAAUUUAUACGUACAGACCAUAUAUACACUGCAGAGAAAGGUUGACAGAAACUCUUUGCAUAUACACUGCAGAUCAUAUAUAUGUACAGAUCAAAACUAAAAAUUUAUAUGCACAAAACAUAUAUACAACUAAAAAAUUUGAUUUAGUAUGAUUGUUCACUACCAAAGUGUAUCUAUUUCUCUAACAAAAACACUACAAUUACUUUCUUGCUGAUUGCCCAACAGUAUGGUUCAGUUUCUUCCUGUUAUUUGCCCUUUAUUCAAAUUAGUAUGCAGACAAAGCAUUCAUUCACAAGAAAAACAUGUUUGUUCCAAGCUAAUCAGGAACAUGAGCUUAUGUAUAUUCUCAGUUCGGAGAUGAGAAAUUGAUUUCUAGCUAAUCAGGAAUAGGAGCUUAAGAACAAGACCAAGCAAGCAAGAACAUUAUGAACCAGAUCAAAAUACCUCUUCUAGGUAGGCAACUCAUCCAUUUCGCUCCGAAGCCACAUGACCGCACUCUCUUCUUGAAGUUUGAUGAACAUGUAAGAUAAGAAAGAGCUCGCUAUUACAUUAUAACAAAGAGCAUCAUAAAUGUUUGUUCUAAGCUAAUCAGGAAUAAGAACUUAAGUAUAUUCUUAGUUCAGACAUGUGCAUGCAUAUGCUCAGUUAGCAACCACAUAAAUAUACUACAACUAGUCAUCUCAGAUGAGAAAUUGAUUUCCAGCUCUUGUCUGCAUGUAUUUUACUCAUCUUAGCAAAUCACACCAGUAACAGUUAACUUCGACCAGUUUUGAAUUUCAUCAACAUCUAACACAAGACAUUGCCUGCUAUAUUUUUAGCACACAGUGUCAAAAUUAAUCAGACUGAUGAUAUACCAAUGAAACUUAUGUGCAGCAAAAUGAUUCUCUCCUCACAUUUCUGCACUACAUCCAAUUAUCAAUAUCUAAUACAAAAUGGUUGGCUGUAUUUUGUUACUUUGUUAUCAGAUAUGUACUAUAUGCUAAUAAUAAUGGGAUUUUUUUUACUAUGGAGUAUAAAAUCAGUACCGGAAGGUAGAGAUCCUACUUGAGCAUCUACAUGUAUAAUUUUAAGGCACACAUAAAUGACAUCAAAAAAGGGUUGGAGUUGUCUUGAAUAGUAGUCCAGAUCUAGCAGCAACUAACUUCAAAUAGGGGGAGGACGAAUGUGAUUGGGAAGCAGGCAGAGGAACAACAGGGAGGGCCUCUCACAGCGGUGGUACUGGAAAGGGGAGAGGAGCGUGGCUAUCAGGGACGGUGUGCUUGGCGAGCUCGCAGGGGAGGACGAGGCGAACGGCGGAUCGGCGGCGGCCAUAUUGAGAAACCCUAGAUGAAGAUGGAGGGGGGGGGGGUGCCUCGAGGGAGAAGGCCAACUUUCCCUAGGAAGAAGAGGAAGCAGGCAUCCGACGGAGUUAGCAGCGACGGCGGCGGCUGCGCGCGGUUCUGGCCGUCUCUUGUGACCGCGGCCGCGUCUCGUCUCUCUUUCGCACGAGGCGUGUGAGCCGCGAGGUACCCCUCGAUGCUAGGAAGCCCCAUGGAUCGGGGAGGAACGGAUGGGAUAUUCGGGGCUGACCCGGUUGGAGCCCAGUGCGCCAAACGGUACUCUUGGGCUUUUAGGGUCUUUUAAGCCCGACGGGGAAAAUCCACUAAAAACCCCUUUGAUCCCGGUGUCCCAAACAAGGCCUCAGCACGAAUGGGUUUUCAAGUCUGAAAGUGCAACUAUCCCUGGGUGGUUUUGGUAAUUCGUAACAACAUAUAGCUCAUUGAGCUAAUGCUAUUUUAAAAUAAAUAUUUCAGGGAAGCUCAAUGAUUGGCAUGGCAUGGAUUAGAAAAUAAACCCCUCAAAAUGCUAAGGACAAAAGAUUGGUUCAAGCUCAAAGCACAAGACUCUACAUUUUAUUUUUAGUGAUCCAAGAUCACAUUAAGUCCAUAGGAAAAGACAACACUAUUAGAAGGGGGUGAGGUGUUGCUUAAUGAGUUACUUACUCGAAAUGCUUAGUGAUAUGCUUCAAAAAUCCUCAAUUACUUUCUCAUAUCCACAUAUGUCCCAAACCAAAAAUCAAACUCGGCCCCACCAAAAUCUUUUAUCCGGCGCCACCGAGCUCACUUGACAUAGCCACUGCCACAAACCCUAGUCACUUCGGUCUCACCGAUAGGGAUUUCGGUCUCACCGAGAUGGGAUUGCAACCUCUCUGUUUCUCUUUGUAACGUUUCGGUCCAACCAAGAUGAGCGAUCGGUCCCACCGAGAUUGCAAUGCAAACUCUCUGUUUCCCCUUCGUAACGUUUUGGUCUAACCGAGACGAGCGAAUCAGUCCCACCGAGUUUGCCUGACCAACUCUCUGUUUGUCUAUUACCAAAAUCGGUCCCACCGAGUUUGUGUAAUCGGUCUCACCAAGAUUACGUUAUGCCCUAACCCUAAUAGAAUCAGUCCCACCGAGUUGACAUGUCGGUCCCACCAAAAACCUUAACGCUCACAUUUUGAACUAAAUCGGUCUGACCGAGUUUUAUAAUUCAGUCCAACCGAGUUUGGUGAUUUGUGUGUAACGGUUAGAUUUUGUGUGGACGCUAUAUAUACCCCUCCACCCACUCUUCAUUCGUGGAGAGAGCCAUCAGAACAUGCCUACACUUCUAACAUACAUUUUCUGAGAGAGAACCAUCUACACUUGUGUUGAGGUCAAGAUAUUCCAUUCCAACCACAUAAAUCUUGAUCUCUAACCUUCCCCAAGUUGCUUUCCACUCAAAUCAUCUUUCUACCAAAUCCAAUCAUAUGAAAGAGAGUUGAGUGUUGGGGAGACUACCAUUUGAAGCACAAUAGUAAGGAGUCCAUCAUCAACACACCAUCUAUUACAUUUUGGAGAGUGGUGUCUCCUAGAUUGGUUAGGUGUCACUUGGGAGCCUCCGUCAAGAUUGUGGAGUUGAACCAAGGAGUUUGUACAGGCAAGGAGAUCGCCUACUUCGUGAAGAUCUACCCUAGUGAGGCAAGUCCUUUGUGGGCGAUGGCCAUGAUGGGAUAGACAAGGUUGCUUUUUCGUGGACCCUUCGUGGGUGGAGCCCUCCGUGGACUCACGCAACUGUUACCCUUCAUGGGUUGAAGUCUCCAUCAACGUGGAUGUACGAUAGCAUCACCUAUCGGAACCACACCAAAAAUCUCCGCGUCUACAUUGCGUUUACUUUCUCCAAACUCCUCCCUUUACCUUUAUAUGCAAUUGUUUUACAUUCCGCUGCUAUACUCUUAGAAUUGCAUGUGUAGAUUGAUUACUUGAAUUGUGCUAAGUUGCUAAAAUCUGCCAAGACUUAAAACUGGAAAAAUUCUAGAUUUUUAUUUGGUCAAGUAGUCUAAUCACCUCUCUCUAGACAUACUUUCGAUCCUACAAAGCCCCAAAGGGGCUGGGGAUUAUUGGGGAUUUGGUGAACCCCUCCCCCGCACCAAAUCCCCUCAAAUCCCCUUCCGCCUCCCAAGCCCCUUCCACAUCUAUCCAUAUAUGAGUGUUUCGCAUGCAGGGACAAAUUUGGUCCAUUUUUAACAUGAACUUCAACAACACACCGAUAAAAAUCCGAUCUUUACUACUGAACAUGCUGAAGCAUCAGUGGCCAUAUCAUCAAGUACUACUAAAACCAACAAAUCAUAAUCUUUAAGAUCAAUGGCAUCUAAACUAAGAACAUCAAAGGCCAUAUAACACGAUCAGAUCAUAGUUUAAACAUCAUAUGUCAAACACAGGCAUGCAUCAGCAUGUACCAACAACACCUAGGGUGCAACACAAAUAUCACUUAAAUUCGGUUUCUGCGUCCCGGCAUAGUUUCAGUUUCGCAACGACGCCGACGCACAUGCAUCACUUCAGUUCCGUCGCAUCCCUGAAAGCAGCAAGUCAAUCAGAACAUUAGACAUACGAGUCAAACAAUUCACAGGUACAAGAGUAAUUCAAAUACUGUAGCGACCCGACCUCAAAUGGUCAAGUCUCUGUGUAUCUGUGCCAUCCCUGGAUGAAAGUACAUGUAGUCCCCAUGUGUGGUUUUGGUAAUUAAAUGACAAUCCUAAUGGACUAAUGUUUGCACUGAGAUAUACAUUUGAAGGAAAGUUCCAUUUGCAAUGCAUGAAGAAUAUUGGAUGAAUUGGUGGAUGAAAUCCAUCAACAUCUAUAUAUGCAUUGAGACUUGUUAAUGAAUGAAAAUUCCUAUGAAGAAACAAUGACAUCAAGUUAUAUAGGAAGGUUUGUUCCAUGGGUGAUGCAAGAAGGAUAUUGAAUGGAUUCGGAAUGAAUGCCAUAUACAUGUAGUUGUGCAUCAAGAUUAAUCAUGGAGCAAAGAUUAAGGUUGACCAAGAUGAAGAUCGAAGAUUGAAUUCAAAGAUGGUCAACACACAAGCACAAAUCAUGUGCCACGUGAGAUCUUGUGGUAUGGUAAGAAUUUGUCAAUUGCGCUUUGUGUACUAACCCAUACUAUGUGUUGCCUAUGUUUUUGAGAGGAGAUUCUCAUGGGCUCGCAUCGAGAGAGAUAUUUCAAGUGUCUAUGAGAGGAUGACAUCAAGUGUUGAUGAUCAUGGUUGACAAGGGCAAGUUCAAGAUAACUAUCCCGAAGGAUUACAUGCUUGAAGCUUGUGGAUGAUCACAUGAUGGACACAUGAAGAUAAAUACAAAGCAAAGCUUCCCACAUUGUGUAUGGGGGAGCUACUUGAAGACUUCACCAAUGUCUUGCCAUUCAACUUUAUCCAAGAAGAAACUUCAACUUCAAGCUCAAGUGAAAGGCUCAAGUCAAAGGUAUUAGUUCCUUCGACGUUAGUGUUGUGGAGUGAUGAACACCGAAGGAACACAUACACUCAAGAAUGGAUUAUUGAUAGCUAUGUAGUGUAGACCUUUUAUGAUUCUUGAAUUAUAGGGAUCCCGCACUAUUAAGAGGGGAUCAAAGGGGUUCGUGAUAGAUUUGCUCAAGUCAACAUCUUCUCUACACAAUUCCACUCAUAUCCUAUAUACCAAAGAAAAUCCAAAGCCAAAUAGGUUACCCAAAUACAUGAUAAAACCUUUGCAUAUUUUGCAUCCUCCAUUUUGGUUCAUCUUGGGUGGUUCUCUAUGUGAGGACCUGGGUUUUUUUCAUAGCUUCAAAACGAGCCCAAGAUCAUCAAAAUCGGAGUCCGGAUGUAAAAGUUGUGCCUGUUUCAGUUUCUAGGCUGCAGCAGUUUGGUUUGGCCGGAUCAUCCGGGUCCUCUCCCAUAUCAUCCGGGCUUUUGCCCGGAUCAUCCGAGUUAUUCGUAAAAUUCAUCACAGAAGCUUAUUCCGCUAGCCGGAUCAUCCGGCUACCCACCCGGAUCAUCCGGGAAUUGCCCGGAUCAUCCGGCUAUGUUCCCGGACAUCCGGGUAUCUACUUCACCACAUUGUAUAUUGACCUUCCCGGAUCAUCCGGGCAUUGCCCGGAUCAUCCGGGUAUGCGUCCAGAUCAUCCGGGCAGGUCAACAACUGCGGGAAACGGCUCUAUUUUCUUUGGGGGUAUAAAUAUCCCUCUCCCACUCCGGGGGAGGGUUGAGCACUUCAUCCCAAAUCGUCCCAAGAACACAAGUGGCUCCCUCUCACUUCUCCUACACCAAAUCUUAGAUCCCGGAGAGAUUAGUGAGUGUUCUUGUGAGUUGUUCCAAUCAAAAGAUAGAUCCUCUCCCUCUCCCUCUUGUGACCAAAGCAAUUCGUGAUUUGAGCAAGUCUUGAGCAUUUCCCCCUUGAUCUUGUUACUCUUGGAGGUUGGAGACUCCUAGGCGGUAGGAGUGCUCCGGUGAGGAAUCAACUUGUGAUUUGUCCCCCGGAAAGUUUGUGAAGGUUUGGAGGCCGCCUCAAGGUCUACCACUAGUGGUUGAGAAUCGCCUUCGUGGUGAUAUCUCAAGGAGAAUAGGGUGAGCCUUCGUGGCGUUGGUGUGCCUUCGUGGUAACAUCCACCUCUCUAACGGUGACUAGCUUCCCUCCAAGGAAGUGAACAUCGGGAUACAUCCUCGUCUCCGUGUCUUCGGUUAAUUCUAACCCUAGCCACUACUUGUGGUUUACUUUGGUCUCUUGACCUUGCAUUCACUAUAUCUUGUUGUCCUCAUUAUAUUGUGUUGGUUACCAUAUCGUAGAGAUUAUCUAGGCCAACACUUUAUAGUCCGCAAUUCAUACUUGCUAUUAUUGUUCUAUCGUGUGCUUAGUGUGAAUUGCUAGCUUGUAACAUUCAUUUCCAUAUCUUGUGACAUAACUUGUGUAAGCCUGUAUUGCUUACUUGUGGUUGUGUGUAUUAUUCAUUUAUAUAUCUUGUGAUAUACAUUGAGUAAGUUUGUGUAACUUACUUGUGCUUACUCAUAUCCUCGUUGUUCUCAUCUUGUUUAUCCUAAGUUGUUGGUGCACUUAGUUAGCCUGGUAUAUUUAGGAUUUGUGCUUGAAAAGUAUCCUCUUAGUUUAUUUUCGCAUUAGGAUAUAGCCAAAUCCGUAUAAGAUUUUAAAACGCCUAUUCACGCCCCCUCUAGGCGACAUCGUGGUCCUUUCAAUUGGUAUCAGAGCUAGGUCUCUCCUUAUUAGGCUUAACCGCCUAGAGAGUAACGAUGUCGACUAGUGAACUAGUGCACGAUGACACAUUUUGUUUUAAUGGCACAAAUUACAUUAUGUGGAGAUUACGCAUGCUUUGUCACUUUCGGGCCAUGGGUCCAAAUGCUUUACGGAUUGUGGUUGUAGGGAAUUCAAAUCUAAAGGAUGGACAAUCUCCAUCACUUGAUGAUAUGCAUCUUGAUUGUGAAGCUUUAAGUUUCAUUCACUAAGCUAUAACCUUCGAGGUGUUCAAGUCAAUCUCGUCUUGUUCGUUGGCUCAUGAUGCUUGGACCAAAAUUGAAGAUAUAUAUGGUGGGUCCAAUCUUCAUGAAGACAAUAUUCUUUUUGGGGAGUUAAUGGAGGAGUUCUCCACAUUUUUAAAUCAUGAAGAGCUCUCUAUUGCUUCCACCUCCGAUUACUUGCAUACCCCAACAUCUUUCACUUCACCAACAUGUGGCAUACCACAAGGUAAUGACAUGGUGAGUGAAGAAAUAUCCUGUAAUGAUGGUGUUAAGCUCAUUUGUGAUGAUAUGCUUGAUCUCCCAUGUUGCCAUGAUAGAAAUAUCGUGAUUCCCUCUAGUUCUAUUUGUGAAACUAACCAUGUAGAGGAAAUCAAGAAAAAUGAGGCAUGCUUGGUUGAUGAAGAACCCUCUUCUCCAAAAGAAUCAUCAUCAACCCCUUGUGUUCACAUGUGCCUCAUGGCAAGAGGUAAUGACGAGGUAUCAUCUUCUCUUAGUGACAAUGAUGAUAGUUGUAAUGAGGAAGAUGAUGAAGUCUUGACUCAAAAUCUCUAUGAGAUUGGGAAAACUCUUCGUAGAGCUAAAAAUAACACUUAUAAAAGGUUCCAAGAUGUUCUUGCUUGCUUUCAAAAACGUAAUGACUUAUUUCUUUACGAGCAAGCAAAAAGUGAACAACUUGAACAUGAACUUGCUAUGGCUCAUCAAUGUCUUAGUGACUUGAGGUCUUUAAAAGAAGAGACUGAAGUUACGCAUUGUAAACUUAAAGAGGAUUUUGAGCCCCUUGACCUUGACUACAAGAAGGUCAAAGGAGAGCUCAUCAAACUCUCUAAGUCUCAUGAGGAACUUCAAGCUACUCAUGCGGAGUCUCUAGCUUCUACAUGCUCCUCUCAUAUUGAUAAUGAUGCUUGUGCUACUAACUCUAUCUUGUGUGAAGCAUCGAUAUUAAAAGAAAAUGUUGACCUAAGGACUCAACUUGAUUUUCUAACUAGCAACUAUGGGAAAUUGGAAGAAAGUUAUGAAAAGCUCUCGGGCACUCAUGAGGAUCUUAUAAUCUCUCAUGAUGGGCUAAAGUUAGCUCAUAAGGCUAUGUGGACCAAGGUAAAAUCGUGUGAGUCUCAUGUGGAUAUUAGCACAUCUUCUACUCGAAGUGCCUUAUUGCCAUGUGCUAGUCCUUGCAAUUCCUCUCUACAUGAUAUUGGUACAUCUUGUGAUGAAUUGCUCACCAUGCCUUGUUGCUCUAACAAUGAAGUUUCUACUUCCUCUAGUUCUUUUGUUAAUACUAACCUUGUAGAGGAAAAUAAAGAGUUCAAGGCCCAAGUCACCAGUUUGAAGAAAGACUUGGAAAAAUAUUGUGAUAAUAUCUUGAGUGUGCAAAAGGACCCUCAAGACAAAAUUGGACUUGAUUUCAUCUCCAACAAGAAGAAGUCCAAGAACAAGAAGAAGGGACGAGAUCAAGUCAAGAAUUCGGCCAACAUUAUUUGCUUCAAGUGCAAGAAUGUUGGACACCAUGUGAGAUCUUGUCCAUUGAAGAAGAAGGCUUCAAGUGUGAAGCAUCAAGGGAAGUGGCCUCAAGUUCAAUAUCAAGAUAAUGAAAGGCCUCUUCCCAUGCCUAACCAAGAUAAUGCUCUCCAAGUUGAAAAGGUAAAGAAUAAGAGAAAGGGGAGCACAUGUUGCUAUAUUUGCCGUAAGAAGGGACACAUAGCUUCAUCUUGUUCCAAUGGUAACAUAUCUAAGCCUCCUAUAGUCAAUAAUCAUUAUUUGCUAAAGAAGGAUAUUGUUGGCAAUGUGUUUGCCAAGUUUGUGGGUUCCCAGAGAAGUUUGAAAGUGGACAAGACCAUUUGGGUUGCCAAGCCUAUUGUUACUAACUUCUUAGGACCCAACUUGGUUGGGGACCAUCAAGCUCAAACUUGAUCAAUAGGUGUGUGGAGGGCAUUGGAGACUUGGCUACUUCAUGAAGAAAAACUAUUUUCACCAUAUGUUAUGGUUAAUGCCAAGUCAAGUGGAUUAUCAUCAUAUCUAUCAAUCCAAUGCUCCUCUUUGCGGUAACUUGUACUUGCAUUGUUUACAUUGAAAGUUACUGUGUCCCUUGCAUGUUUAGGUUUUGUACCUAGCAUGUGUUUUUUUAGUUGUGCUUCCUAGUAUGCUUGAUUUGUGUUAUCUAGCAUGUGUAGGUCACAAUGCAAUUCAUAUAUUUGUGCGUGUGUGGUUUCAAGCCUUUAUUGCUUCAUUAGUUGAAUCUUCCUUGGCUGGAUCAUCACAUUAUGGGGGAGUGCUAUGUUUUACGGAUAUCACAAACCUUAAAGGUGUAUGUAUGUGGGAUACCACCUAGUAUUGUUAGUGCAAUAUUAUCAAGGUACUAUGUGGUAUGUAAAGCUCAUUUGAAACUCAAAUUCUCAUCCAUUAAUUAUCCUUAGUUGGGUUUCAUUUGCUUCUUGUGGAUAAUACAUGGAUCAUCAUAUUAUGGGGGAGUGAUAUGCUUUGUGCAUAUCACAAUCCUCGUUAAUAUGAACAAUUGAGGGAUGCCACCUAGAAUUUAUAUUUGAGAUUAUCUUAUAUCUUCGUGGCAUGCAAUGUCUUGUUUACGUAUGGCAUUCUUGUGCGGUUUUGCCCAUGGUUAUCUUUAAAACCAUAUUUGGAAAAUCAUUUGAUUAAAGCUAUUCCAAUUAUUGCUUUUCAUGAUUAUCUAUCUAGUCGGAAUGUUAAUAUUAUGCUAUCCAAGCAUUGUGGUUAUUCCUAAACUCUCAUGUUAUGCUUGUGUUAGUAUAGAUAAUCAUGUACUUAUUUGGUUUCUACACCCAAUGAUAACCCGAAAUACCAUUUUGUUCGAAUUCAUCUUAUUGCUCUAUAUGAGAGUUUGUUAUCUCAUUGUUUAUAGUGUCCUAUAUCUACUUGAGUGGGAUAUUCCUAUGAGUAUGUGUGCAAUGCAUAUCUUAUAUGCUCAUUGUUUUUUUUCUUGGUUCAUAUGUUGAACUUUGUGUGCUAUCAUAUGUUGAUUUGUCACUUUGAUUCAUUUUGGACAACAUGAAUGACUAGUGUUGUUAUUGGAAGUAUUAACAGUUAUGUGGUCAUUUGUCCAAUUUAUAUCUCCUUGGAUUUUGGUAGGCUUAUGCAUGCAUAUUUACUAUGUGUAAAUUCACAUGCCUUGUUUGCCUUAUUUGAUCCAAUAUAUAUAUGGUAAAUCCAUCAAAUUCUUAAUAGCUAUGAUGUGCAUGAAAUUCAAAUUCAUAUCAAUAGGCACAUAUUUAAGUGGUUUUACCCUAUGUGUUGUAGUUAUGCUAACUACGUCGGACCCAAUAAGUUUGGGGACCAUAUUGUACUUAAAAUGUUUUAGGUACAUUUGAGAAGCAUUGGGUGCUUGGCUUAUUCAUGAAGGUGGUGGCACUAUGAGAAAUUAGAGCCAAGCUUGGACAUUUUAUUUGAUCUACAACUUCAUACCAAUGCUAUCUCGGUAACAAGUAUUUACUUCAUGCAUAUAUAUAGAAAUGGGGUUAACCUUGUGUAGGUUCCAUCAUGGCAUGAAUUUCUUGACUCGUUCCUGUGAUACUUGUUUCCUUUCUCAAAGCAUCCCAACAAUGAUCUCUUGUUGCUAGUUGUGAUGUCUUUGAUGGUUGUGUGUUUGGAGUUCAUUAAUAUACAAUAAGAUUAUAUUAAGCCAUGUGCCAUGCUUUCAAGCAAAGAUCUCAUUGGUAUAUUUUAUGACUCCCAUUUUGAUAUCUUAUUCCUUCCUUUUGUAACUAUUUUAUGUGUACAUCCUUCUUUGUGGAUAUCAUCUACCUAGUAUCUUAUACACGUGAGAGAAGUUACAUCUCUAGUUGAUAUCCCUAUUCUUUCAUGUCCACCAUUUCAUUCACUUUUUAUAUCUUUUUGGUGGCUCCAUGGAAGCAUUUGUUGAAUGAGUGCAUGUCUUACCUCUUUCCAUCUUAGUGCACUCAUGUUUGGUGAAGAUUGUUGUUCUCAUGCUUGUCUUGACAAGCCUAUUAUUUCCUAUCUUCAUCAUGGGUUGUCACAAGCUUUGAUUUUUAGUUUGCUAUUAGUGAGCUUGUGAACCCAUUUUCUUGAUGUGUGUGUGACCUUCUUAACUUCAUGUGUGUGGGAAGGACAUGUCUUGCACCUUGUAUCUCAUUUACUCAAGGCUAUGUUGAUGCUUAAUUCUCAUCCUUAUACUAGUCUUCUCAAGUGCUUUGACGUGUCUCACACACAUCAUUUUGGUUGUGCCUAUUCUUAGGUUGCCUCAUGUACAUGUUGCUCAACCAUAUGUUUGUUGCAAAUGCUAGGCUUCUUUUCUUAUCUAUGUUUGCUUGCAAUUGUUGUGUGUUCCUAUUGAUUUUGGGGGAGUGAUGAUCCUAUUUUGUGCACUUGUAUCCAAAUAAAAAAAAUUCAAUUGUGCACAAAUCAUGGGGAGCUUCUCUAUUUUCCUUAGAACACUCCUUUACCCAAAUCGUAAUAUUCUUUUAUUCUUUUGGCUCAUCGGAUCUUUUGAUUGCUUGCUUCACUUUGUGUUAUGCAAAUGAGAUCAAUUUGUGCCAUGUGUUUUGUGCCAUGUGCCUUGCUAUUAUGACUAUGCUCAAGUUGUAUAAUAGUGGAUUCACUUGUGGAUAUCAUGUUCUUAUCAAUUGCAACCUUUCUUUUUGUGUAUACGAGUUUCUUUGUGGAUACAUAUCAUGAUUAUUAUAGGCCACUUAGAAAUUUUUAUACAUGAAAAAGUUCAUAUCUUCGUAUCUGGUUGCAUUCUAUAGAUUUCGAGCUCCUUUAAUUGUUCAUCAUUGAAUAUGUGCAUUUGUUUUCACUCACAUUUUGUUAUAUGCACACAUCAAGGAGGAACUCAUACUAUAUUGGUCUGCUAGAUGUUUUGUCUUCCAUUUUGGCAUUUGUUGCCAAUGGGGGAGAAGUUUAGAGGGUUUAAGAUAAAUAUCUUUUCUAGUUCUUGUUGUCACUCAUGCAUAUCUACCCUUGUUAUAUAUUCUUAUUGCAUGGAUGAGUCUUGUAUAUAGAGAAAUCUUCUCCUAGUUUAUGUCAACCAAUAUAUGCAAUGACAUUCAAAGUUCAUUCACAAAUUCAUAUAUUAUGGGGGAGUUUGCUCUAUACACUAUGGGUGUACUAUCAUCAAAUGCUUGUGUAGUGUAUUGAUGAUAGUACAACCAUCCCAAGUAUACAAUUUAUCCUUGGAUAAAUUUCAUGCUUGUUUAAAAAUUCAUUAUAUAAACCCUCUUGUUGAGAUUGUCAUCAAUUACCAAAAUGGGGGAGAUUGAAAGUACAUGUAGUCCCCAUGUGUGGUUUUGGUAAUUAAAUGACAAUCCUAAUGGACUAAUGUUUGCACUGAGAUAUACAUUUGAAGGAAAGUUCCAUUUGCAAUGCAUGAAGAAUAUUGGAUGAAUUGGUGGAUGAAAUCCAUCAACAUCUAUAUAUGCAUUGAGACUUGUUAAUGAAUGACAAUUCCUAUGAAGAAACAAUGACAUCAAGUUAUAUAGGAAGGUUUGUUCCAUGGGUGAUGCAAGAAGGAUAUUGAAUGGAUUCGGAAUGAAUGCCAUAUACAUGUAGUUGUGCAUCAAGAUUAAUCAUGGAGAAAAGAUUAAGGUUGACCAAGAUGAAGAUCGAAGAUUGAAUUAAAAGAUGGUCAACACACAAGCGCAAAUCAUGUGCCAUGUGAGAUCUUGUGGUAUGGUAAGAAUUUGUCAAUUGCGCUUUGUGUACUAACCCAUACUAUGUGUUGCCUAUGUUUUUGAGAGGAGAUUCUCAUGGGCUCGCAUCGAGAGAUAUAUUUCAAGUGUCUAUGAGAGGAUGACAUCAAGUGUUGAUGAUCAUGGUUGACAAGGGCAAGUUCAAGAUAACUAUCCCGAAGGAUUACAUGCUUGAAGCUUGUGGAUGAUCACAUGAUGGACACAUGAAGAUAAAUACAAAGCAAAGCUUCCCACAUUGUGUAUGGGGGAGCUACUUGAAGACUUCACCAAUGUCUUGCCAUUCAACUUGAUCCAAGAAGAAACUUCAACUUCAAGCUCAAGUGAAAGGCUCAAGUCAAAGGUAUUAGUUCCUUCGACGUUAGUGUUGUGGAGUGAUGAACACCGAAGGAACACAUACACUCAAGAAUGGAUUAUUGAUAGCUAUGUAGUGUAGACCUUUUAUGAUUCUUGAAUUAUAGGGAUCCCACACUAUUAAGAGGGGAUCAAAGGGGUUCGUGAUAGAUUUGCUCAAGUCAACAUCUUCUCUACACAAUUCCACUCAUAUCCUAUAUACCAAAGAAAAUCCAAAGCCAAAUAGGUUACCCAAAUACAUGAUAAAACCUUUGCAUAUUUUGCAUCCUCCAUUUUGGUUCAUCUUGAGUGGUUCUCUAUGUGAGGACCUAGGUUUUUUUCAUAGCUUCAAAACGAGCCCAAGAUCAUCAAAAUCGGAGUCCGGAUGUAAAAGUUGUGCCUGUUUCAGUUUCUAGGCUGCAGCAGUUUGGUUUGGCCGGAUCAUCCGGGUCCUCUCCCAUAUCAUCUGGGCUUUGCCCGGAUCAUCCGGGUUUCUGCCCGGAUCAUCCGAGUUAUUCGUAAAAUUCAUCACAGAAGCUUAUUCCGCUAGCCGGAUCAUCCGGCUACCCACCCGGAUCAUCCGGGAAUUGCCCGGAUCAUCCGGCUAUGUUCCCGGACAUCCGGGUAUCUACUUCACCACAUUGUAUAUUGACCUUCCUGGAUCAUCCGGGCAUUGCCCGGAUCAUCCGGGUAUGCGUCCAGAUCAUCCGGGCAGGUCAACAACUGCGGGAAACGGCUCUAUUUUCUUUGGGGGUAUAAAUAUCCCUCUCCCACUCCGGGGGAGGGUUGAGCACUUCAUCGCAAAUCGUCCCAAGAACACAAGUGGCUCCCUCUCACUUCUCCUACACCAAAUCUUAGAUCCCGGAGAGAUUAGUGAGUGUUCUUGUGAGUUGUUCCAAUCAAAAGAUAGAUCCUCUCCCUCUCCCUCUUGUGACCAAAGCAAUUCGUGAUUUGAGCAAGUCUUGAGCAUUUCCCCCUUGAUCUUGUUACUCUUGGAGGUUGGAGACUCCUAGGCGGUAGGAGUGCUCCGGUGAGGAAUCAACUUGUGAUUUGUCCCCCGGAAAGUUUGUGAAGGUUUGGAGGCCGCCUCAAGGUCUACCACUAGUGGUUGAGAAUCGCCUUCGUGGUGAUAUCUCAAGGAGAAUAGGGUGAGCCUUCGUGGCGUUGGUGUGCCUUCGUGGUAACAUCCACCUCUCUAACGGUGACUAGCUUCCCUCCAAGGAAGUGAACAUUGGGAUACAUCCUCGUCUCCGUGUCUUCGGUUAAUUCUAACCCUAGCCACUACUUGUGGUUUACUUUGGUCUCUUGACCUUGCAUUCACUAUAUCUUGUUGUCCUCAUUAUAUUGUGUUGGUUACCAUAUCGUAGAGAUUAUCUAGGCCAACACUUUAUAGUCCGCAAUUCAUACUUGCUACUAUUGUUCUAUCGUGUGCUUAGUGUGAAUUGCUAGCUUGUAACAUUCAUUUCCAUAUCUUGUGACAUAACUUGUGUAAGCCUGUAUUGCUUACUUGUGGUUGUGUGUAUUAUUCAUUUAUAUAUCUUGUGAUAUACAUUGAGUAAGUUUGUGUAACUUACUUGUGCUUACUCAUAUCCUCGUUGUUCUCAUCUUGUUUAUCCUAAGUUGUUGGUGCACUUAGUUAGCCUGGUAUAUUUAGGAUUUGUGCUUGAAAAGUAUCCUCUUAGUUUAUUUCCGCAUUAGGAUAUAGCCAAAUCCGUAUAAGAUUUUAAAACGCCUAUUCACCCCCCCUCUAGGCGACAUCGUGGUCCUUUCACUGGAUCGGUAUGCUGGCACACACAGUACAUCAAUGUAUAUAUCAAAGUGCAAUCACAUGUAUAAAUAACGUAAAACUGAUAUAUACCUCAUAAGUCUCAGCGAAAACAAUCAAACGGUUGUGGAGUCCCAUCAACGCCAAUGGCAAGUUGAGUGUAGACCGUAACCCUACAACGUAACUCUUACUUGUCGUAAAAAUUCUUGCAACAUAAGGCGUUACAGCCCUGUAGGUCAGUACAUUGAAUGUACUGGAAAGUCACAUCAUAAGAAUAAUGAACCUAUUUGUACAUGCAAUUUGGCUGGUGGAAAGCUCUAAGUUUAGUUUUUGCAUAAAGCUAGUUUUUUGCGUGAAGAAAACAUAUUAUUCUACCACUAUAGUAUAACAUAGGAUGAUUUGGCAAACCCAACUCAAUCCAUUCCCAAAGUUUUUUUAAAACCCAACUGUUUAAAUUAAGAGUGAUGAGAUCUCCCAUCAUUUUCACUGCUAGAUGCUCAAGUUGUCUGUAACCGGGGACACAGCUAAUCGAUUAGGUUUUAACAGUCUGAAGAGGUUUGUGCACUUUUCCCCACAAGACUCGAUCGCCUCCCUUGAAGUUCUCGCACUGCCUGGCGUUUGAGAACAGGAUGACCGAGGCAUAGUCUUUCGAAAGUAUUUCCUCUUAACCCACGGGUAGACCGGUACACCUGCUCAUUCUACAUCUGCUAGCCUAUGUCGGAAGAGAUCACACUAACAAUGUUUGAUCCCUUUGAGCCUAGGCGGACGGACCACUAGUGGUGCACCACCAUGGAUUUUCUGUCGGCGUUCUGGGAACGAGGGUCCCCAGACUUGCCUGCCUGCGGCCUGCGGCGUGGCUCAAAGGGGGCCCCAGCACGACCCGUCUUCACCAACACAAACUCAAGACCCUCGCGAGGGGCCAAGCCUCGCGGGGCGGACGACGCGGAGCUUCCUCAGGCACGGCUUCAUCAGGCUGGCUCACAAGGAGGCGGAGAGAUCAAGGCGGGGUACCUCACGAGCUGCCCGUGACACAAGCCAUGACGACUCAGGGCGCCAGGCGGGUGCCAGCCCGCGCAGCGUCCUCCUUCCCUCUUUGGUGCAAAGGGGGCAAGCGCAGCCGCGGAGUACCGAGGCAUCAGGCAAAGGUUGCCAUUUCGGUGCAACGAGACCAAGACCAGGAGGACUACGAGAUGGAGGUCACCGUGGAGCCCAAGACGGCGUCAUCACCAGAGCUUUGCACAGGCAAAGACUACUUUUGUCAGGAUAGUUGAUACUUGCUGUCCCCCUUCAAAUUAGCCCGCCAUUGUUGGCUCCCUUCCCGCUCAAUAUUUGGGGAGAGGACCGGGGCCUCUAUAAAUAGGACUAGCCACCCCCAGGGUAGAGAGGAUCGAGAAUCAGCCAACCCGGAAACAAGCUGGGGUCGAAAUCAGGGUCAGUCAGUUGGAGGAAAGCAGAGAGAGAGGGAGAGAAAAAGGUGACUGAACUCCACCGAGCAGUUCAUCGCCCCAGCCAAGAACGGACCCUCGCGAGGCUGUUCUCCCUUGUAUUGUUCAUCAUCAUCAGCCCAAGAGGCAAUCCACCACACCACACACUGGAGUAGGGUAUUACACCACAACGGUGGCCCGAACCAGUAUAAACCCUGUGUCUCUUGUGUUGUUCUUUCCUGAGUUUAGAUCCUAGCAUGGCGGAGGGGUGCAAGUAGGUAGGGGGCGAAAUCUCUGCGUGCACCCCAGUGUUUGAACCUCAAGGGUCUGCCGGAACCCGAAAUCCGACAUUUGGCGCGUCAGAUAGGGGUGCACCGGAAUUCGUCUUCCACCGCUCCGUGCCCCGUCGCGUCGUCAUCACCAUGCCCGGCGACCAGGAGGGCAACCCAGACCCAUGGGCGGCAUGGCCCGCCCGUGCAGAGCCGCUCGCCUCAGGCGACCCCGUGUCCCAGGGAGCUCGCGGUCCACAGGGCGCUGCGGGCCGCGAGCGACGUGGACAGGCUUCGACAACUCUCACACGGCAGGCGCGGUCGGCAGCAAGGGCCUCCAAUCACGCCGCGACCACGACACCGUACGCCCGCCGGGAGCAAGCGAACUCGAGGGCCGCGCUCACGAUGGCCCGAGAGCUGCUGCAGUGCAGACUGCUGGAGGGCGGCCGCGACAUGCUGCUGGAGCGGGUGGCAGAGCUCUUGGGCUUCGCCGCCUCGGUGGCUCACCCCUUCUGCAUCGAGCUCCCAUCUCCAACCCAGGGCGGCCCGCGCGGGGGCCCCCCGCGCACCCUCGGGCUCCAAGGCUACUCCAACACUGGCGAGGCUGUCAGCACCGGACCGGCGGCGGCGCAGCCCCCGCUCCUGGUCCGCGAAGAAGAAGGGCUCGAUGCAACCCGCGGCCCCAGUGGACAGCCGCACUGCCACCCCACGGUAGGCGCGUCAGGCAGGACCACGUGGCGCGCAGAGCACUACGGCGUGGUCAUUAGGGUGGCGGCGCCGGAGGAAUACGUGCCCCUCAUGAUCGACCAAGGACACUCACACGAGGGCGAACCAGGCUCGCUCCUCAGCCCAAGCCGGGGGGACGAGGCGCCAGAAGCUGAGCCCUUCCAGGAGUCUCGGGACGGUCCCACUGGGCACGCUGGAAGCAACGAUUAUCGGGUACCGCUAAUUCUUCAGCAGGCAUACGCUAACCAUGGAUCGCAAGAGGUGCAGGUUGCCACAGCGGGCAGCUGCUCCGCUCCCACAGCCUCCUACCCCUCAGGAGGAGGGCUCAGGGGGCUGGGCAGGGAUUCGACAUCACCACCGCGGCGUUUGGAGCAAGGUGUUCUCAGGAGGUAGGCCCUCCGCUGGGGAGGUGUCCCAGGGCCUGCCCCCGGCGGAGGACCCGUGGUCGUCGGGGGAACCGCUGGCGACCGCUCUGCCCCAUCGGCGGCGUCCUGGUUUCCGGUCGUCGUUGAUGGCACUAGAGUGUGGCACAAGGCGGGGCCCUCAUCUGGCGAUAUGAAGCAAGGCCAGUACCUGUGAAGAAGGCCCAGUGCCUGUGAAGCUCGCCGCCCCGUGACACUCUCACAUAAUAAUGAGUGGGGCUGUACACGCCCCGGAGUCUCAGGGGUGCCGGCCUCAGGCCCUGGGGCUCCCUCCCACGUCCAGUGGCAGCACUUAGCUCCGCGCUGGUGAGAAGACGUCCAAGACUAGAUUAGGUGCCGGACGCGGCCUUUUGUUUGCUUUCGUUGCUCUUCCCCUUGGUUGUCGCUUUCCCCCGCUGGAUUCAAGUUGGAUUCGAAUUUGAGAUUUGCGUGUUUUCGGGGAGGGGUGCUUAGUCUCGUUCGAGCGAUUUCUCGCGUUUUGGUUACCACUCCGCCUCCCCUCGCGAGCCCCUCGUGAGCCCCUCGCGAGCCGGGUCAGGCCUAGCUUGCGCGCAGCCCAGACUGCCGCCGCCGCAUCCUUUCAGGAGGGUGUUUUACUGCAGAUCCUAUGGAUUCAAUCAGGGGACAUUGAGGACACCACAACCCCCCGCGGGCUGCCUCAGGGCCAGCGCGGAACAAAGGUAUACUAGCCGACCAGCGCGUCGCUUAAGCCAGCCACUUGGCGUGGGCACAUGGGCGAUGUAGCUUCUACUGAUACGAUAAACACAAGUUUUACAUGAGCCCCCCCCCUCCAAAAUGCUCUCACAGUCAUCAGGCCAAAACCUGAGUUCUAUUCAUGCAGGUUAAGGAAGCAGGAACGAUGUACAGUCAGUCGGACGAAUCCCCCAAUGCGUCCUCAGGAGCACCACCUGAGCCGUUGCUGGCGUCGCUGAACUCGCCAUCGCUGUCCGUGUCGCCGCCAGCGGCGUCAGGGCCGCCCAUCGCGCCGCCCUCGUCGGCCGCCACGAUCGCAUCAUCGUUGUCUGAGGUGAAGGCCCUGAUAAGAGCAUCCACAUUGUCCUCCACCCAGUGCGCUAGGUCGCCUCGGACAGCCUGGGGGACUGGGGCGAUGGCGGCAUCAAAAUCAAAAUGGGGAUCCAUGUUCCGGAGGUGACUGAAGACGCGGGAAAAGGCGCGUCUGAGCAGGGCGCGGCUCCUCUCCUCCACCAACCUAUCAGCCCUGGUCGACCGCGCCUCCAGCUGCGUCACCACAUCAGCGAAGAACUGGAGAUUGCCCGCGUAGUUGACUGCGUGUGGCUCACCGACGACCUCCUCGCAGAUGUUGCCCAAGGCCGCGUUGGCUCUCUCCCGGAGAGUGGUGAGCAUGGGGCUGUGCUCAUGCUCCAAGAUCCGCCGCUGACGUAUCUCCUCCGCAUUCUGACACGCGACGGCCUCAGCCUCCUCCACCCGCUGGCAAAGACGGAGCACCUCAGCCCGGGAGGUGGUUAACUCACCUCGCGCCACCUCAAGGGCGGCCCGGGAAGCAUCGGCCCGCCGCGCCGCCUCCUCCAGCUUGGCCCUCAAGGCGGCAGUCCUGCCUUCAGCUUCGGCCUGGAUCAACCCCAGCUUCUCUUCGAACUCGUGCUCGAGGUUCAAAUGCGCCAUCGCCACUCGAUGUCCGACCUCCUCCAGGACGCGGGCUUGCUGUGCAGCAACAUUAUCCUCCGCCUGCAUCACCAAGCGCUCCCUCGUCUCCAGACGCUCGUACUCGUGGGUACGUUCGGCGGCUUCCAGUGUCAGCGCCUCCUCACGCUUCUGGAGCUUUGCCGAGUCGCCAGAGGCCACCUUCAUCGAUGCGAGGGCUGCCUCGCGCAGCUCCACCUGCUCCUCCAGCGAGUGGCACCAGGCCAAAAGCUCCCGAGCCCGCUCCUCCGCAGCCGUUUGCCGCCGGUCAGCUUCCCGAGCCUCCUCAGCGGCCUGAGACCGGGCCUCCCGAGAGGCCACAAACGACGCCUUGGCCUCUGCUUCAUCAAGAUCACGCUGACGGCGCGCAAGGGCGAUGGCGCCCUCUAGCUCGCGCCUCUCUGUAGCCAGGCGCAGGCCCUCAGCCUCAAGGCACGCGUCCUCAUCAGCAAGCUCCUCACCAAGCAGGCUCACUGCGUCAGCCGCCCUUCGAAGGAAUCCUUGGCGGAGAGUGCGACGCUCCCGAGCGCGCUCGAGCACGUCUUCCACACCAUCAUCCGCCCCAAGAAAGCGUUGGGGGCCGCGAGUCAGCACUCCCCCUCCGGGCUGGGGGCUGGGGGCUGGCACCCUCGCGACGGCCGGGCACGCCGCGUUAGCAACCCGGCCUAGGGCCAGCCCGUCCUCAGGAGAAGAGCGCAGGAAGCGCCUCAUCCAAUCGCAGUUCACGACCAGGCGAGAGGCCCAUGGCAGGCUGGCUAUGCCAUGAGAAGGCCCGCGAAGGAGGAUCGCGAGGUGCGCGGGGCCACGGUGCACCUCGGGAUGGUUCGCCUCUUCCAUCGCCCUCACCACAAGGGCUCCGCUGCUCGGAGCGCUCGAGGAUGGUGGAGGGGGCGAAGCCAAGGGGGACGGCUCCUCAGCCGUCUCCGCAAGCUCGGCUGGAAGGGGCCUGCAAAGCAAGGGUCAGUACAAGUAACAGAAGGAUCGGGAGCCGGGAAAGGAGAAGGCUUACUCAUCAGUGGCGAAGUACUUCCUACGCUUCAGCAGGCGACAAGGGUAAUCGUCGCCCAGGGCCUCCCUUCUCUUCCGGAGAGCCUCGAAGUUCACGCAGAAACGGCCCAAGAGUUGGGCACAUGGAUCAACCUUCGACGAAGACGGAGCGUCAAGGUGAUCUGCGGCAGAGGCGCCUGCCUGAUGUACGCUGCCAAUCGCCUCCCCAAGAGACGCAGCUGGAGCCUCAGGGGCCCCAGUCGCAGGCACUGAGGGCAGCUGCUCGCCACCCUCAGCCUCAGCGGCACGGGCCCCAAGAGUUGCUUCCUCAUGAGCCUCGCCCGACGCUGUCACCGCGCCGGGAGCCCCCUCGGCCUCUGGCGCCUCGUGCCUCCCUGCUCUGCCACUCGAGGAUGAGUCGCCUUGGCCGACUCGAAGGGCAGUCACCACCACUAGGUUCUCGCGAGGCCCCUGAAGGCCGGCGGAGCGUGGCCCCCACUCAUCAAAGACAGGCAUCUGCUUCACAAAGUCGCCCCUUCUCUGGCAGAGGUACAACAAGGCCCCUCCCUGCCGGACGCUGUCGGGGUUGGGGUCCCCAGCCAGGGUCAAGAGCGCCGUCCUCAGCACCUCGGGAGUCAGGUCCUCUUCCUAGAGCCUCAUACGAUCCUCGCGCCCAUGGAAGGCCCACAUCCGGCGAGAGUGGCGUUGAAGAGGAGAACGCGACAUAGCAGGAACUCCUUCACCACCUUGGGCGCUGUCACGCCAAGCGACCUUAAGAGCACGAAGCGGCGCCAGACAAAGACAAGCCGGGGGCUCUCAAGCGUCUCCUGGCUCCAGCCCGAAUUGGGGAUGGCAGGUGAGGUCGGCUCCAAUAGCAGGGGGCUGGGCACCCCUGCGUCCACAUACAGCCACCGCUCGCGGAACCCAACCGCGGGCAGGGGGAGCUUGAAGUCAAUCCCAGAGGCCGCCGUCUCAGGCGCGGCAACGAAGCUCACGCAAGCCCAGCAUUGGGUAGGGUCGGCAAGAUGCAACGAGAAGAAGUGGCGCAGCAAGGCAACCGAAGGAGGGAUGCCCACCAUAGCUUCGCAAACAAAGGCGCAAACCGAAAAGAGGGUGAUGGAUUCAGGACCCAGAUGCAUCAUGUGGAUCUAAUAGUGGGAAAGCACGGCGUUGAAGAAAUCGGAAAAGGGGGGAACCAGACCCGCCCACAGGGCGUCGGCAAGAUACGGGACCUCGGUGGCUGUCCUGUCGAUGGAGAAGUGGGACGCGGGCCAGGCCGUCGUCCUCCCGCAUUCAUUGAAGAUGGUGGCCAGAGCCAAGCUGACCUUGCCCAAGCCCUCGGCGGGGGCCGCCGACGGCGGCGGGCAAGGCGGAGACACGGGUUUCUUCCCUCUCCCCUUCUUCGUCGGAGCCAUGGCGAUGGGAAGGGGGGGAGGGAGGUUCGAGAUUGAGUUGAAAACAGAAACCGGAGUUCGAGCGGAGGAAGGACAGAGGGCGCCCGAGCGAUAAAGGGGAACGACUGUGUAUGACUACGGGUCCGCCUAGCACGACGCAAGAUAAGGAGGGCGUGGGGGAACAGUGCCGCCCACGUCCAAUCAACCGCCACGCAGUGCCCAAGGCCGCAGGCUGUUAGGGCCCGCGGCGCUUCGCUCUUGCCCUUCCGCCUCCCCGCACGGCCAAGCCCGGGCGCGCCUUGGGCCCGGGGGCUACUGUCGGUGUUCUGGGAACGGGGGUCCCCAGACUUGCCUGCCUGCGGCCUGCGGCAUGGCUCAAAGGGGGGCCCAACACGGCCCGUCUUCACCAACACAAACCCAAGACCCUCGCGAGGGGCCAAGCCUCGCGGGGCGGACGACGCGGAGCUUCCUUAGGCACGGCCUCGUCAGGCUGGCUCACGAGGAGGCGGAGAGAUCAAGGCGGGGUACCUCACGAGGUGCCCGUGACGCAAGCCAUGACGACUCAGGGCGCCAGGCGGGUGCCAGCCCGCGCAGCGUCCUCCUUCCCUCUUUGGUGCAAAGGGGGCAAGCGCAGCCGUGGAGUACCGAGGCAUCAGGCAAAGGUUGCCAUUUCGGUGCAACGAGACCAAGACCAGGAGGACUACAAGAUGGAGGUCACAGUGGAGCCCAAGACGGCGUCAUCACCAGAGCUUUGCACAGGCGAAGACUGCUUUUGUCAGGAUAGCUGAUACUUGAUGUCCCCCUUCAAAUUAGCCCGCCAUUGUUGGCUCCCUUCCCGCUCAAUAUUUGGGGAGAGGACCAGGGCCUCUAUAAAUAGGACUAGCCACCCCCAGGGUAGAGAGGAUCGAGAAUCAGCCAACCCAGAAACAAGCUAGGGUCGAAAUCAGGGUCGGUCAGUUGGAGGAAAGCAGAGAGAGAGAGAGAAAAAGGUGACUGAACUCCACCGAGCAGUUCAUCGCCCCAGCCAAGAACAGACCCUCGCGAGGCUGUUCUCCCUUGUAUUGUUCAUCAUCAUCAGCCCAAGAGGCAAUCCACCACACCACACACUAGAGUAGGGUAUUACACCACAACAGUGGCCCGAACUAGUAUAAACCCUGUGUCUCUUGUGUUGUUCUUUCCUGAGUUUAGAUCCUAGCAUGGCGGAGGGGUGCAGGUAGGUAGGGGGCGAAAUCUCCGCGCGCACCCCAGUGUUCGAACCUCAAGGGUCUGCCGGAACCCAAAAUCCGACAUUUCCCAUGCAUACUUUGCCACCAUUCAAACCAAUUUCGCCCAAGUAGUUCAUUUAAGUCUUGGUCCCGAUUACUACUUUGUCACUCAAGUCUCACCAUGAACACUUCCCAAUCCAUGUCUAAAUUUGCGAGGCAGAAAUAAACUUACACGGUGGUGACAAGGUUGUAUGGUGCAGACCUACCUCAAAUGAACUACUAGGUAAAUGCAUAGCCAUCCGACAUAAGAUUCCUACCAUGCAAUCCUACCACAAAGGACUAAGUGCAUAUAAAAACAUAGGCAAUUAAAAGUAUGGUCAAAUGUGAACUUCCUGGUAAUAGUUGAUGAAGAUUAUAUCGCUCUUAGAAAUUUACUUAAUAGAACUAUUCGUCACUCUCCGAUGAAAAUCUAUGAAGUCAAACAUUGCAUUCACAUAAGCAAUCAUUUCGGAGAACCAAAUAACAUGCAACAUGAAAAGACUCGAAAAAUCCAAAUGAACACACAACACACUUAACUAUUAAAAAAAUACUAAGUGCAAAAGCAACGUGUGAAAUACGGUUCAAAAUUGUGAUGUGAACUAUAGUGCAUACAAGGCAUAUAAGUGAAACUAUCAUGGAAAAAUCCCAGUGUGUGAAAAGUGCCAUGAGAUUGGUCCAAGUGAUAGGGUUUGGCUACACUGACACGAUGCAAAAAGAAUCAACUCAAACUGAGCUACGGUUUAGGAGAUAUGGCCAUUUGAAGUUUGAAUUUAAAUCUAAAUAAUUUCAAGUUUGAAUCUGACAAAAGUUUACAAAAAUGAAGCCACUGGAUAGAUCUAAACAUGACGAAGACUUUGCCACUGGUUUCAUCUAAUUUGGACUUGCGGUUAAAGAGUUAUGACUAUUCUAAGUUCGGGGGCUAAUCUAUGAUAAAAGUUACUGCAUCUAGGUCCCUGGCCACGUGGCGGUCCGUGGCUGGCUGAAAAAUGUUCGCUGCUUGGCUUAUAGGGUGAACGCUUGGCAAUUAACGUAAACAGUACACGACAGUUAAUAAAAUAAACUAGGGAUCGGUUUAACUAAAACCGCACGGUUUAAUUAAAACCGCGGUUAACCUCACCGGUUCAAAUGAAAAAAAACUAAUCUAAUUUGAACAAGGGAAGGGACGGCUCAUAGAGGGCAACGGCGGCGACGGCGGUGGCGGCGGGGCGGCGGCUCCGACGGGUUCCAGCCGCGGGGAAGGAGGCGGCGGGGUCCGGCGUGUCGAGGGCGACCGGGUGGUGGUAGCGCGGGGUGUCGGGUUGGCCAGAACGGAGCAAGGCGAUGGCGGCGGAGCUCCGUUGCUCUGGUGAGCUUGGGUGUCAUCGUGCGGUCGACUGCGGCGGUCCUCGGCGGUGGGUAAGUGGACGAGACGGUGCGGCUAGACGAGGCGUCCCUAAUGGUGGUGGUGGAGGUCGUCGUCGGCGUCUGGACGGAGCGGAGCGAAGGCGGCGGCGCUCUGGUGUACUGCGCGAACUCCGGCGAGAUGCAUACGACGAUGGAGACGGCUAGAGGCGUCGAGAGGGUGAGAGGGACAGCCAAGUGAGAAGAGGGGUUCCUGGCCUUUAUAUAGGCGCUGCUAGGGGCUCGGGGAGCAGCGGAUAAGCUCUAUCCUGAGCUGGGCGCGGCGGUGGUUGCGGGAGCGCGGAGUAGUACUCAUUCGAGCGGGGCGAGCGGGAGGUUGGAGAUGAGCUGGGGAGCGGUCCCCACCUGGCAGCGGGACAGAGGGAGAGGAAGAGGGCAGCGGGCGACCGGUGUCGAGGGAAAUCGGGCGCGGGAGCUGCGGCGUGAGCCGAAAGGCCGGCUGGGCCGUGCGUCGCGCUCCUGGGCCGAACUCUGUUUCGGUCUAGGCGGUGUUGUUUUUCUAGAAAACAUUUUGAGGACAAAACAACUCCAAACAAAUUUAUAAAAAAUACCAUAUUGAUUUAUAAAGUCACUAAUAAUAGAUAACAUAGUGAACAUUAAUUUAAGCACAGAACAUUUUGAAAAUAUUUUCCUAAGGCAAUUAAUGCACUUUUUGCAAAUAAAAUAAGUACCAAAUAAACUCUAAAACUCUAACUAAUAACAAAUGAAAUUUCCAACUCUUUUACAAUUUGAGGAUGUCAUCUUAUCCCCUCUCAUUCGUUUUUCUUGAGUGGAAAAUAUUAUUUGAAUCUUUGAAGGAGUCAUAUUAUGAUAUGCAUAUGUUUUAAAAUAUUUUUAAAAUGCUUCUAUUGGUUUCAUUAUCCAUUUCCAUUUUUCCUUGUUGAUAUUUGAAGGAGUCAUAUUUCCCACUCUCUUUGUUUCAUGGAAAUGAUUUUGAAACUCAAAAUGGAAAAGUUUUCAAAAGUGAACCAAAUGAAAUUCAAAAGUGUUGCUCAUCACUUCCCACUCUAUUUCAUAUAUUUUGAAGAAGUCCUAUUAUCUUCUCUCAUAAAAAUCCUUGAGUGGUAUAAAGUUUCUUAGUUGGACUAUUUUUCAAAUGGAAUUCAAUUUUUUUUCAAAACCCAUUUUCAUUUCUUUAGAUGGAAGAAGUCAUAUUAUCUUCAUUCUAGGGUUUUGUGAUGAAUUUGAAUUCACGGAGAUCAAAAUGCAAGAUGAAUCUUUUGGGGAAGUCCUUUUAUUCCCUCUCAUUGAACUUUCAGAAAGUUUCAAUUUCCACUCAAUCACAAUUAAUCACACAACAAUCAAACAAACAAUCAUAAUUAAUUAUUUAAUUUAGCAUUCCAAAAUUUAGAAUUUUGGGAUGUUACAAAUACUUUCUCAAGAAAGAAAAGAAACAGGGGGGAAAUAUGGCAUGGAGUCUGUUUCUUAUACUUCAUGAUCUAAUACCGAUGGACUCGCUCUCCUUUGUCAAAAAGUAUAACAAAAUUUAUAUGUGAUGUACUUGAGCCAGAUAUAACUUGAUGCAAACAGAUCUAACUUGAAGCAAACAGAGAAAAGCAAACUCUAGCAUCAGGUCACAUAGAUAUCUCACAUCGAGUACUAGCACUGGAAACUCACAACUAAAAAUUUAUACGUACAUACCAUAUAUACACUGCAGAGAAAGGUUGACAGAAACUCUUUGCAUAUAUACUACAGAUCAAUAUAUGUACAGAUCAAAACUAAAAAUUUAUAUGUACAGAUUAUAUAUACAACUAAAAAUUUAGAUUUAGUAUGAUUGUUCACUACCAAAGUGUAUCUAUUUCUCUAACAAAAACACUACAAUUACUUUCUUGCUGAUUGCCCAACAGUAUGGUUCAGUUUCUUCCUGUUAUUUGCCCUUUAUUCAAAUUAGUAUGUAGACAAAGCAUUCAUUCACAAGAAAAACAUGUUUGUUCCAAGCUAACCAGGAAUAGGAGCUUAUGUAUAUUGUCAGUUCGGAGAUGAGAAAUUGAUUUCUAGCUAAUCAGGAAUAGGAGCUUAAGAACAAGACCAAGCAAGCAAGAACAUUAUGAACCAGAUCAAAAUACCUCUUCUAGGUAGGCAACUCAUCCAUUUCGCUCCGAAGCCACAUGGUCGCACUCUCUUUUUGAAGUUCGAGGAACAUGUGAGAUAACAAAGAUCUCGCUAUUACAUUAUAACAAAGAGCAUCAUAAAUGUUUGUUCUAAGCUAAUCAGGAAUAAGAGCUUAAGUAUAUUUUUAGUUCAGACAUGUGCAUGCAUAUGCUCAGUUAGCAAGCUCAUAAACAUACUACAACUAGUCAUCUCAGAUGAGAAAUUGAUUUCCAGCUCUUGUCUGCAUGUAUUUUACUCAUCUUAGCAAAUCACACCAGUAACAGUUAACUUUGACCAGUUUUGAAUUUCAUCAACAUCUAACACAAGACAUUGCCUGCUAUAUUUUUAGCACGUAGUGUCAAUAUACUAGCUUCAGUUCCAGUAAAAAAACAUAAACUUAUGCAUCAGUCCAAGUAGCUACUAUGCUUUAUAUAAGGUUCAGCUACCACUGCAAGUUGUAUGUUGUUAUUUCUAAUAGUACAUGUCGUGUAGUUGUGUCAGUUCGAGUUAAAGACUAUUGUUGAAAAAAAUAUAAAUUUGUUACACAGUAAGUUCAAUGAUACAGAAACUAGGAGUACUUCUAAUAUAUAUAUAUAUUCUGAUCACGGGAUUAGAUUAUUAUUCUGAUCACAACCUAACCUGCCCUGAUAGUAGUACGUUGAACUUCCCCCAGUGCUAGGUUGAACUUCCACAAACAUUGCCCAAAUGAAGCCUGCGAUAUGCCGUUGGAAAGCUAUGGACACGAGUAUCAUGACCCAAGUUAAAAUUUUGGCAAAAUGCAAGCAGUUUAAGAGCAGUUUUGAGAACAUUUUUUCUUCAUACAAAAAACAUGAAGUAUUUUCGAUCACAUUUCUAAACCGUUUAUUGGAAUGAGGGAAAUAAUAUGGCGUUGGAAAGCUACCGCAAAACCGCUCCUUCCACAUGUUGAAAAUUUCUCUAAUUCCCUAUGGUUAUAGAGUAAUUUGGAAAUUGUAAAAUUUCGCAAACCGAACAACCGAGUUCGUAUUUUCAAUGUCAUUUCUAAACGGCUAAUCCAAUUGAGGCAAAUGAUAUGGCGUUGGAAAGGUUAUGCAAAUGCGCUACUUUUUCAUGUUGAAAGUUUUCUCUAAUUUUGAACAGUUUAAGAGUAAUUUAGAAAACGGUACAAGUUCCACCGAGUUUGUAUUUUCGAGCUAAUUUUUUAACCGUACGUCCGAAUGCAGCAAAUGAUAUGGAGUUGGAAAGCUUGAGGAAAUGCAAUUUUUUGGUAUAUAUUGUUUCUAACAAUUCCAGACGAUUCUUAGUCAAUUUUGAAAAUGGCUACAAACGUAUUUUGGCCACAAUUUCUACAAACUUUAUCAGAAUGGGGCAAAUAAUAUACCAUUGAAAAGCUACGGAAAAUGCGAAACUUUUUCAUGUUGAUGGUUUUCUCUAAUUCCUAGCCGUUUUCAAGUAAUUUUGAAAACACCGAGAUCAUGCGUUCUACCUUUAUCGCGAAACAAAUUCUUCGAAAAUGCACCGCGCGAAGAACUUGAACUUCUCGAUAUGUCUACUUGAACUUCACUCUGUUUUUCACAUGCUUUUUGUGCUCGUAGCUCUCCAUCUACUCACUGGAAUUGAGCAAGUGGUAUACCGAUGGAAAGCUGAUAACCCACAAGUAUAGGGGAUCAAUUGUAGCCUCUUUCGAUAAGUAAGAGUGUCGAACCCAACGAGGAGCUAAAGGUAGAACAAAUAUUCCCUCAAGUUUUAUCGACCACCGAUACGACUCUAAGCACGCUUGACGUUUGCUUUACCUAGAAUAAGUAUAAAACUAGAAUUACUUUGUAGGUGUAAUGGGAUAGGUUUGCAAGAAUAUAAAGAGCACGUAAAUAAAAACUAGGGGCUGUUUUAGGUAAAGAAGCAAUGAAGUUAGUAUAGCGAGUGUGGAAAAGUGGUGGUAGGAGUUUUGAAAUUUUCCCUAAGCAAUUGACUAUGUUACUCGACCGAUAGCAAGUUUUAUGUGGGAGAGGACACUGCUAGCAUGUCAUCCCUGACUUGGAAUUCUAUGCACUUAUGAUUGGAACUAUUCGCAAGCAUCCGCAACUACUAACGUUCAUUAAGGUAAAACCCAACCAUAGCAUUAAGAUAUAUUGGUCCCCCUUCAAUCAUGUAUGCAUCAAUUUCUAUGCUAGGUUGAAGCUUCUGUCACUCUUGCCCUCCAAUACAUAGUCCUAUCAACAUACAACUAACCCUAUGGUGUGAUCCACACGCGUGCUCAUAUGAUGGGCACCAAAGGACAGCAACAUAACCACAAGCAAAUUAAACCAAUCAUAGCAAUUCACCAAUUAUCGAUAGGACAACGAAAAUCUACUCAGACAUCAUACGAUGGCAACACAUCAUUGGAUAAUAAUAUGAAGCAUAAAGCACCAUGUUCAAGUAGAGGGUACAGCGGGUUGCGGGAUAGUGGACCAUUGUAGAUAGAUGGAGGAGGGUGAUGAAGAUGUUGGUGAAGAUUACGGAGGUGUUGGUGUAGAUCGCCGUCACAGGAUGAUGGCCCCAGCGGUGUUCCGACGCCACCGGGAGAGAGGGGGAGAGGGACCCCCUUCUUCUUCUUCUUCCUUGACCUUCUCCCUAGAUGGGAGAAGGGUUUCCCCUCUGGUCUAUGGCCUCCAUGGCGAUGGAGGGGCGAGACCCUCCCCCCCCCGAGAUUGGAUCUGUCUCUCUGUCUCUCACUGUUUCUGCGUUCUAGAUUUUGGCCUUUCACUGUUUCUUAUAUUCCCGAAGAUCCGUAACUCCGAUUGGGCUGAAUUUUUAACACGAUUUCUAUCCGGAUAUUGGCUUUCUUGCGGCGAAAGAAGGGCACCAACCGCCUUACAGGGUGGCCACGAGGGCCAGGGGCGUGUCCACCCCCUCGGGGCGCGCCCCUGCCUCAUGGCCCCCUCGGGCAUCGUCUCGCGUUGAUUCUUCCUCCCAAAAAUCACAUAUAUUCCAAAAAAAUCUCUAUAAGUUUUUAUCCCGUUUGGACUUCGUUUGAUAUGGAUUUUCUGCGAAACAAAAAACAUGCAACAAACAGGAACUGGCACUGGGCACUGGAUCAAUAUGUUAGUCCCCAAAAAUAGUAUAAGAAGUUGGCAAAAGUAUAUGAAAGUUGUAUAAUAUUGGCAUGGAACAAUCAAAAAUUAUAGAUACGACGGAGGUAACAUGCAAAGUGAACAAGAUACAAUGGGCAUAAAGUAACAAGUGAUAUAUAGCCCAUAGCCGUGUGAGAGCCAAGUAGAAUAGAUACGCGUAGUCGUUGCGCGAAGAGAAUGGUGGGAAGGACAAUCCACGGGAUCCCAAUUCGUCGUUGCUCUCAAGAGCUCGUUUCGUCAACUCAUGGGAUUGUGAGGUUGACGAGUGUUCAUAAGUACCUACACAAAACAAAGGCAAAGGGAAAAUUGUGUGUGCGUGGUAUAUGUACACAUCAUCCAUCAUGAUGCAUACGUGCAUGUGUUAGUUAGAACAAAAUAUCCAAUGCUCAAAUAAAUGAGAUGCAUGAUAUAGAAACAUGUCAUCCAUCAUGAGAGGUUUGUUAUUAUGUAUAGCAUAAUGGAGACUCAAAUUGUGUAAUGCAUCAUGAGAAUUAUGUAGAGCAUUGUUAUUCAUGGAAUGCAUAUGGUGCAAACAAUCAUGGGAAUCGUGCAAAGUAUGGAAUGCAUCAAAAUCUCUUAAUAUGUAUGAGGAAACUAUUGGGGUCUCCUCAUGAGAAUUAAUGUAAACAUCACAUAGAGAAUAUUGACAAUAUCCAAAACAAUGCAUAUUUGGAACAUUGUGAUCAUUGCAUGGCAUAGUAGAUGAAUUGUACAAAUCAUGUAAUGGAAGCAUGGCAAUAUCAUCGCAUGGAAAACAAAAUCCAAUGACCAUUGUCUCGUCAUCUAUGCCAUAAGUGCAAAUGGGAUUUAUUUUUAUGGGGCAUGUAUAGUGACUAUGUUGAGAUUGGAAUGAUGCAAUAUGGGAGAUCUCACUCAUAGCAUAUGACAAGUUCAAUGGAUUGUCAAACAUGAAGUGACCAAUAGAAUUUUCACAUGAUAUCCUAUGGAGCAUAGCAUCACAACUAGGCAAUUCAACAUGCUCAUCAUCAUAUUCAUCAUAAAUGGGUGGCAUAUCAAAACAUGACAUAGUAUGAGAUGAAUCCAUAAGGUGAUCAUCAUCAUGCAAGCAAUCAUUUGCAAGAUAGUCCACUAGUGGGACAAGGGAAGCACCAUCACCUAUUUUACCUUUGGAGCAUCGCUCAUGUGUUGUAGGUGAGGUGGCGAAGACCAAGUCGUGUUCAUCUUCAUCUUGAUGGAACCAUGUGGGGUGCAUCAUCGUCCACCAUGGUCAUCUCGUCUCCAUUGGAGGUAUGGGCUCGUCGAGGAUAGGCAUGUCAUCAUGUAGGAGACCUAGCACCAAAGAAAACACACUCGGUGUAGAAGGUUAAGUCGUUAGAAAUCAUAGUGGCCUCACGUGCCGUGUCAACUACCUCACUCACUAAGUGUUGUGGCUCACUCACUCCCUCUUGGAUGCUCUCACUCGUAUGGUUGGUGGAGUCACUCAAAUGGCUCUCAACCUCACAUAGGAUGUGUGGCAUGCUCUCAAGUGUGGGGCUAGUGGUGGUCACACUCAUCCUCUUAUAGGAAAUGCACUCAAGGUCACAUAUGGUGGAGUCACUCAUCUCACUCAUGUGGUGGUGGUUCUCCUCACAUGGCAAUUGGGGCAUCUCGUCAUAUGUGGGUGUCGGAGAGAUGUAGGUGCAAAUGUCUCCAUGCUCAUUCAUGUCGUAGUCGUAGUCGUGCAUGAAGGCUGAAGAUGGCACAUCAUCACUCUCCUCUAAGACCAAAGAUAAGGUCUCAUGUGCGGUCUCGUAGCUUGACUCGGAGUAUGAGUCCAAUAUGGGCGACGUCUUCAUGUUGUUGAAGAGGUUCAUGCUUGUCGUCGUGGUCGAAGGGGAUGGCCCUUGCUUGACCUUCUUGUCACCGUCUUGUUGUUGGAGGCCCAUAUGAUGUGGCACCUCAUAGCUCGUCUCCAUGACCGAUGAGAAUUUCCCAUGCUCGACCAUCUUCCUUGAGGGGCUUCCGAAGAUGGAAGUGUCGCCCUCGCUUGUAGGUGGUCGCCUCGUUUGUGAAGAUGUCGAUGUAGGCGUACUCGUGGGAAGUAGGCGAAGAUGUCAUACGUCCAAAGGCGAAGAUGCCUUGAUAUCACUUGGCAAAGAUGCCAAAGUGGUGGUGGUAGUAGCCAUAGCGUCCUCUUGGUGGUGCUUGUCUCGCGGUCUUCCUUUGUGCUCUUGAAGCUUGGCCUUGGCGUGAAGUAGGGCUUGUUGGGACUUGUGCAUUUGCGCUUGUGGAGCAUCUUCAUGAUGAUGGUGUUGUUGUCGUGCUUGAGCUCAUAGUAGAUGUCGUUCGUCGUCAUCGUGCACAUGUUGCUUGUAGGUGACUUGCCCUUCAUGACGAUGUGUAUCACGAACGUGAUGGUGGUCGCCAUGGAGAUGUGGACAUGGACGACUUGCGCUUGCAUCAUUUUGGCGCUCCGAAGACUUGUUACUUGAACGUCGCCGCCUUGAGGAUGAUGAAGGGGAAGAACGGUUGAUCAACAAGGUCCGAAUCUCCUCCAUCUUUGCAUCUUGCUCCUCCUUUUGUACGGAAAACUUGUUGUCGAAGUAGUCCCUUCUCCUAGCUUUGGAAUGUCGUAAGUCGGUGGUGAUGUUGUCGAUGACUUGCAUUGCUCGUUUUAGUCCAAAGUGGGGAGUGUUGGUGUUGGAGUUGUUCACGCCGUCGUUGUUGUCGAAGACCGGAGAUGAAAUGCCUUACCUAUCCAUCACAAGACUCAAGCAAAUAUGAGUGGGAGAAAGAGAAGAACUAUACCAAAUGUACCUUGACCGAUGUUGAAAAUGGAUCAAUGAUCACUCAAUGAUCUAACAAGGAUAUAGCACAAUUGGUACCGAUCUCGUCAAUUUCUCACACCUACACAAGUAAGGCUUAUAGUGGAGCUCGGUGAGGAUAGUGGCCCAAAAAUUUGAUGCAAAAUGUUAGCAAGAGUCAAUAAUGUUGAAAAAGAUUCACAAAUUUGCAAGUGAAACAAGCAAACCAAUAGAAAUAUGUGGCACACGGAAACACACACAUAGAUAGAUAAAUGGGGUCGUGCAACCAAGGAAUGAGCUCAAAAUGUGAAAUCCACGGAAAAUGCUCUUGUUGCACAACUCUAGGGAGACGCUAGCACGAUUGCUCAAUAGGCGGAUAUGACACUUGUGCACAACCUAUAGAAGACAAAAAUGCAACAACUUCUAUCCCAAUUAUGCUAUGUAUAUAUGGUUCCCGAUGUUCCUCUCAAGAUGAUCCAAGAUGAUCUUAUAUGCAAUGUGGUAUGAUGCUAUGGCUAUUGCUUACAAGCUUCUUUGCUCUCUUUUUCUUUGCUUUAAAGCUUAUUUUUUUAUAUGGCCACAAUGCGAAAUGCACAAACCAAAAUAGAAAUUGGAUAUAUACGGGAACAAUCUUGUGACACAAUGGAUGAUAUGAUACCAAUAUGAUAUGGUAUGCAUGCAAUGGAUGGUGUACAUCACUAGUGUGCACAAGUAACGUUGUUGGCAAUACUCAAAUGGCUAGUCUCGAUAGGUAAGUGACGCAAAAUGGGCUAGGGGUUAUCAAUGCAAUGGCAAGAAUAUACAAUGGAGGGAUACCACAAUACCAAGAUGAUAUGGAGGUUACCGUCCGUGGCGAUGAUGAGUGGCGGUGUUCUUGAUGUAGAUACCAAGAUGAUGGAGACUCGUCCCUAAGUAGCCGAAACACCUUAGGAAAGGAAAAACCGCGAACUCAAAACCUCAAAUGUCAAAUGUUAGGUAGCGGGAAUGCGGUGGUGGUUGCGGAAGCUCAAUGGGAUUGCAAAAAUGCAAUGAUGGGUUUUGAGACGCAAUGCGGAAGUGGAGGGUAAGGUGGUAGACUAUACACGGUGUCGGAGUUGGAAGCAUGGUCCCUAAGUAGCCUAAACACCUUAGGAGACACAACUCACAACACAAACAAAAUUGGGUUAAGUUGGGGUGGUGGAAGUGUAUGGUGGGUAAGCCUAUGCGGAAGUGGUGGUGGUCGUUGAUGAAGAAGCAAUCGUCCCUAAGUAGCCGAAACACCUUAGAGGACUCAAAUCACAACUUAAACAACCUCAAAUGCUAUGGGGAUGUAAUGCCCUCGAUGCAGCUAUAUCUCCCACGUGUCGAAGCAUGACUUAGAGGCAUAACCGCAUUGAAAGCAAUGUCGCAAUUGAGGUAAUCUUCGCAAACAACCCAUGUAAUACAAUAGGGGAAAAGAUACAUAGUUGGCUUACAAUCGCCACUUCACACAAUACAUGAAUAAAGAAUUACAACAUCCAAAUACAAUCAAGGUCCGACUACGGAACCAAAAUAAAAGAAGAACCCCAAAUGCGACAAGGUCCCCGGUCGACCCCAACUGGGCUCCACUAUUGAUCAACUAGAACGAAACGACACAAAGGACAAGAUCUUCAUCGAGCUCCUCCUGAGCUUGGUUGCGUCACCUGGAAUGGCAUCAUCGGCACCUGCAAGCUGGUUUUGGAAGUAUCUGUGAGCCACGGGGACUCAGCAAUCUCACACCCUCGCGAUCAAGACUAUUUAAGCUUAUGGGUAAGGUAAAGGUAUGAGGUGGAGCAGCAGCAAGCGACUAGCGUAUAUGGUGGCUAACAUACGCAAAUAAGAGCGAGAAGAGAAGGCAAAGCACGGUCGUGAAAGUAUGAUCAAGAAGUGAUCCUAAAACAACCUACAUCAAGCAUAACUCCAACACCGUGUUCACUUCCCGGACUCCACCGGAAAGAGACCAUCACGGUUACAUACGCGGUUGAUGCAUUUUAAUUAAGGUCAAACUUCAGGUUUUCUACAACCGGACGUUAACAAAUUCCCAUCUGCCCAUAACCGCGGGCACGACUUUCGAAAGUUCAAAACCCUGCAGGGGUGUCCCAACUUAGCCCAUGACAAGCUCUCACGGUCAAUGAAGGAAUAGACCUCCUCCCAAGACAUUCCGAUCAGACUCGGUAUCCCGGUUCUUCAAGACAUCCUCGACAAUGGUAAAACAAGUCCAGCAAGACCGCCCGAUGCGCCGACAUCCUGAUAGGAGCUGCACAUAUCUCGUUCUUAGGGCAACACCGGAUGAGCGCUCCGUACAACUAAAACCAGCCCUCAAGUUUCCCUGAGGUGGCGCUGCAAAGGACUCUAGUUCGGACCAACACUUAGACAAGCACUGGCCUGGGGGGGUUAAAAUAAGAUGACCCUUGGGAUGCGCGACUCCCAAGGGAAAAAGGCUAGGUGGCGAAUGGUAAAACCAAGGUUGGGCCUUGCUGGAGGAGUUUUAUUCAAAGCGAACUGUCAAGGGGUUCCCAUUAUAACCCAACCGCAUGAGGAACGCAAAAUCCGGGAACAUAACACCGAUAUGACGGAAACUAGGGCAGCAAGAGUGGAACAAAACACCAGGCAUAAGGCCGAGCCUUCCACCCUUUACCAAGUAUAUAGAUGCAUUAAUUAAAUAAGAGAUAUUGUGAUAUCCCAACAAAAUAUAUCCAUGUUCCAACACGGAACAAGCUCCAAUCUUCACCUGCAACUAACAACGCUAUAAGAGGGGCUGAGCGAAGCGGUAACAUAGCCAAACAACGGUUUGCUAGGGCAAGGUGGGUUAGAGGCUUGGCUCAAAAAUAUGGGAGGCAUGAUAAGCAAGUGGUAGGUAUCGCGGCAUAGGCAUAGCAAAAGAGCGAGCAACUAGCAAGCAAAGAUAGAAGUGAUUUCGAGGGUAUGGUCAUCUUGCCUGAGAUCCCGCAAGGAAGAAGAACGAGUCCAUGAAGAAGACAAACGGACGUAGACGAACGGGUCCUCACAAACGCAACGUUACCGGAACCAACCUGAAGAAGCAAACACCGGAAAGAAGCACACAACAUAGUAAACAAACCACACAUGGACAUGGCAUGAUGCACAACCAAGUAUGAUGUAUGUCCGGUUUAAUGAUACAUGGCAUGGCAUGGCAAAAUGCACAAACAAUCCUACAAAUUAAGUGGAGCUCAUUAUGCAACGAAGUUGCAUAUUGAAGAAAAUACCACAUGACUUAUUUAGUUCUCUCUCAUUUAUGUACCCAACAAGAUUAAAUGUUUAUUAACAUGGCAAGAGGGUGAAGCACAAUAAAACUACCUAUCUAGGCAAGUUUAAAUGAGGCCGGAACAUCGAACAACAAAUCCGGAAACUCCUCAUGAGCAUAUUAUAGAUUUGGUACUGUUCUGCCCUAAACCAUAUUUUAUAGUUGCUAAACAUGCAAAGUGAUGCCACCAUGUUAAACUAGGCAUUUUUCUACCCCAUUUACAUAUAAAGUUUGUUUAAAUCCGAGCUACGGUUAUUUAGUUAUGAAUUAAAGCAUUUUAACAUGACAUAGGAGCAAAUUUAAUCAAACAACAUUUUUAACAUUUCAAACAUAGAUGAAAGUUGGAUAUUAUGAAUCUAGACAAAAUUCUAAGCAAGUUUCAUAUAUAACUUAUUUAGAUCCGAUGCACGGUUCAUGAGUUAUUAUAUGCAUGAUCCACAAGGGUUUUCCUACAAAAAUGCUCUCCUCUGAAAAAAUAGACAAAUUGUAGUUCUGAAAAAAAACAGAGGCAUGCCGAAUCGGACUGGGCCAACAGUGCACAGCGGGGUUCUCACCCAGUGGGCCUUUGCCCAAGGCGGUGGAAACAGCAGGCCGGGCGACUGGGCCGGGAGCUGGGCCUUGGGGCGCAUCGACCCACGCGGGGCCCACACAAGAGGCGCUCUUCCUCCUCGUGCCCGCACGAACCGAAAGGCAGAGACGGCGGCGACGGCACACGCCGGAGAGGGCGCAGCAACGGCGGGGAGGUCGCAGGGACAUGGAGAUGGCCGGAUCUGGUCGCGCCGGGUCCAUUCCGGCCGGAUCCAACGGCGGUUCGUCGUGGGCGUCGGCGAGGGAGCCCUGGUGGCGGCGCUGACCACGUGGAAGCGCAGAGAGGUCAGGGAGAGAAAAAGAGAAGAGAGAGAAAAGGGAGAGGAGAGGGACGGGGUCGACCUGGUGGAGCUCGUUGCUGCUCCGGCGAGCAGCUCCGGCGAGGACGCCGACGGGGCCUGGUGCGGGUGCUCCCUCCCCUGGAGCUCGGGGACGAGGGAGCGGGAGGCGACGCGAGGGCUGUCCCGAGCCCCAGAUGGGCUCAGGUGGGCCGCGACAGGGCUCGCAGGGCCGGCAGCGGUGGGGAGCGCUGGGGUGAGGUGGCGACGCCACAUGGCGACCCAGGGGUGGCUGGAGACGGCCAGGGGCGACGUGGCACGCCCGGAUUGGUCCGAGGUGCGGCGGCGGCGGCGCCAAGUGGCGGUGGGAGGCUGGAUGUGCACAGAAUUUGAGGAGGAGGUGGGGAUUGCGGCUGGCUAGAGGUAGGGGGUAGGUUUAGGCUAGGUUUGUCCAAAAAUGGGCUAGGGAAGGUGUAUAUAUAUAGAGAAGGGGCUAGGGUUAGGGGGGUUUCGGAGCCCUCCGAUCGUAAUCGAACGGUUCCAGUCGGAGGGGGGUUUAGUGGGCUGGACUCGGGCUGUGUAGGAGAGAAAAGAACUGCAGCCCGACACAGGUUUCCGAAGAUCGAAAACGUCCGACGAAAAUACCGGCAAUGGUGCCGCUAUAUAUAUAACGGUUGGGCUAUCAAACGAGCUCCGAAUGCGACGAAACUUGACAGGCGCUCUGUCUACACUAUAAUAAGACCGCACGCCAAGUUUCAUCCCAUUCCAAGAAAUUUUUUCGGCCACUCACGAAACGAGGUAAAAGGGGGCGCCGGAGGACAUAGGAGUGUCGAAUUGAGAAACGGACAAUGGGGAAAAUGCUCGGAUGCAUGAGACAAACAUGUAUGCAAAUGUGAUGCACAUGAUGACAUGAUAUGAGAUGCAUGACACGCAAGCAUUGACAAGGUAACAAUAGCGAAUAACUGGAGGACACCUGGCACAUCGGUCUCGGGGCGUUACAGGGGAUGAAUAUGGGUUUGGUUGUGGAAGGCUAUGGUGGUUUUGUGGAAGUUAUGGUGGAAGCCCUAGGCAAAGAUGCCAAAGUUCCAAAAAAUUGAUGGAGUCAAAACAUGAUGGUAGUAUUUUUAUGGGAUGGGGGAUGUCACGAGCUUCAAAACGAGCUAAAGAACGUCAAAAACAUACUCCGGAUGAAUUAGUUAUGGUCAAAACAAUGAAACACCGAAGGCUGAAAUGCCUGGGGUCGGACAUCCGGGGUCGGGGGUCGGAUAUCCUGGGGCUGAUGUCUAGAACCGUGCGGAUUUUAUGCUCCAGGAGCCGUAUGUCCGGCUUGGGGCCCGGAUGUCCAGCCCGAUGGCUCGGAUGUCCGGCCUGAGGCCCGAAUGUCCGACCCGACGAUUCCAGAUCUCGUUUGGGGUGGAAAUUUUCGAAUUGGGGGUGAAAAUUGAUGAUUUUGGGGGCAAAAUUUGAUGGAUUUCGUGGAUGGAGGUGGGGAAACUUGGUGAGAUGCUAGAUCCACUCGAAACCAAGCAAAUCCAUGGAUCAAAAUCAACAAACUUCAUCAAACGAACAAAUCACAAAAAAAUUUGGGGGCUAUUUUUGGUGGGGAUUUUCGAAAUUGGGGAAGAACACAACAAAAUCAAGCAAGAAAAAGAGGGGUAGGGGCUCCAAAUACGUGAUCAACGUGGCUCAUGAUACCAAGAUGUUGUAGGGUGGAACCCUAGAUGGCCGAUCUUUCACGAAAGGAGCGGAUCCCAAUGAGGAACACGAAGAACACAAGGGGAAACACGAGAGAAUCACUCAAACCAACAAGAUUCGGUCACACAUAUGCUAGAUCCUCAAAACACAAAGAGAUACAUGAUAUGAAUCCAACAAAGGACGAUACAAGUGGUAACUAGUUCUUCUCCGUGAGGAGGUCUUGAGGGGUCUUCCCAUGAAGGGGUCUUGAAUCCAAGGUGGAUCUUCUCCGAAGAGGUGAUGGUCCCUCACAAUGGAGUAGAUCCGGAUGGAUGAGCGAAGCUCUAUCUCACAUAUGAGCUAACACAACGCUAACCCUAAAACAUAGGUGGAGGGAAUGUAUAUAUAGUCUAAGGGGCGAAGGGGUACAUGGGCCUCGGCCCAGAAAAACUGCACGCAGGCAGGGAGGGCCGAAUGUCCGGGGCUUCACGGGGAGCCAGAUGUCCGGGCUGGCAGACUUGAUGUCCGGGCUAACGGGGCUGGUCGUGGUGCUAUCUGGAUUGACUUGUCCGGAUUUUCGGGGGCGAGGCUGGAUGUCCGGUGUUGGCGAGGCGCUGGAUGUCCGGGGCUGACGAGGCGCUGGAUGUCCGGGGCUGACGCCGGAUGUCCGGGGCCUGUAGCACUUCGGCUGCAGGGCUGUUGUUGUUGUUGUUGACAUCUUCAGGGGCUAGAUGUCCGGGCCAGGGCCGGAUGUCCGAGUCCUGGGAGUUGUCUCCGUCUUCUUCCGUUGUCGCUUCCGCACACGCUUGGCCUUGGUCCUUGGGUACUUAUUGCAAAAAUCUACAAGUCAUCAAAACCAAGCAUUAUGUGCAUGCUCCUAGGGGGAUAGAUUGGUAGGAAAAGACAAUCGCUCUUCCCCGACCGCCACUGAUAAGGAAGGCAAUCAAAGAAACACCUCAUGCUUCAAAUUUGUCACACAACAGUUACCAUACAUGCAUGCUACGGGACUUGCAAACCUUAACACAAGUAUUUCUCAAUUUCACAAUUACUCAACUAGCACGACUCUAAUAUCACCACCUUUAUAUCGCAAAACUAUUGCAAGAAAUCAAACAUAUCAUAUUCAGUGAUCUACAAGUUUUAUGUAGGAUUUUAUGACUAACCAUGUGAAUGACCAAUUCCUGUCAUCUCUCUAAAUGGAUAUAAGUGAAGCAAGAGUAUAAACAGUAAAGGCCAAUGUGCAACGGUAAAGGCCAAUGCAUAGUAUAAACAGUUUCUUGCAAUUUUAUCACAUUGGAAACAUGGAGAGGCGAAGAUUUAGUUCCUCUCUCAUAAUAAUUGCAAGUAGGAGCAUCAAGCACAUGCAUAUAAUAUUCAUCAAAAUUAUCAUGUGCAACGGUAAAAGGCCACCCAUCAAUAUAAUCCUUAAUAAGUGCAAACUUCUCCGAUCUAGUGUAGUCGGGAGAAUUCAAAAAGAUAAUAGGACUAUCAUGCGUGGGUGCAAUAGCAACAAUUUCAUGUUUAACAUAAGGAACUAUAGCAAGUUCAUCUCCAUAAGCAUACAUCUUGGCCACAAGCAUAGCGAGCAUCAUCAAAAAGGGAUAUUUCAAAAGAAUCAAUGGGAUCAUAACAAUCAUCAUAGCAAUCAUCCUUCGGUAAGCACGAAGGGAAAUUAAACAAUGUAUGAGUUGAAGAGUUACUAUCAUUAGAAGGUGGGAAUGGGUAGCUAAUCCGCUCUUCCUCCUUUUGUUCUUCGCUCUCCUCAUCAUCUUUUUCAUCCAGUGAGCCCACGGUUUCAUCAAUUCCUUCUUCCAUAGACUCCUGCAAAAUAUCAGUCUCUUCUUGGAUAGCGGAGGAGUCCUCAAUAUAUGGUUUGACAUAGGCAACAGAAGCAUAAUUAUCAUAACAAUAUUUAAGUAUGGCAAAAUUUUCAGAUUUGUAAAGAGUAGCAUCAUACUUUCCAAUCAAAGAAGCAAUUUCAUAAGCACCCUUAAAAGCAACAAAUUUUUCAACUUGUUGACCAUCAUAGUAAUUAUAAACACCCUUAGCAUACGAAGAUAAGAUUCCAUUAUCACUAAACUCACAUUGGUAGGGAAGGUGUUUCUUAGGGUCUUCAGAACAACAAGUAAAAUCAUAUAUUUCACAUAAAUUCCAAGCAUAGCAUUGCAAAUGAUGAAUUUGAUCCAGUCAAAGUUUCCCUUUUUGAGAUAAGCGGUGUCGCACAUAACAAGCAUGCUCAUCUAAAGAUUUUCCCUCAACUAAGCUAGUUGGGGUUUCAGCACGAGAACAUGGGACCGAAGAUGAUCCAGGUAAAAAGCUUCAGCAGUGUGAUAGAUUUUGAGUGGUUCUUCAACCAUUGGUGUAGCCUCUUUCGAUAACCCACAAGUAUACGGGAUCAAUUGUAGCCUCUUUCGAUAAGUAAGAGUGUCAAACCCAAUGAGGAGCUAAAGGUAGAACAAAUAUUCCCUCAAGUUUUACCGACCACCGACACAACUCUAUGGACGCUUGAUGUUCGCUUUACCUAGAACAAGUAUAAAACUAGAAGUACUUUGUAGGUGUAACAGGAUAGGUUUGCAAGAAUAUAAAGAGCACGUAAAUAAAAACUAGGGGCUGUUUUAGGUAAAGAAGCAAUAAAGUUAGUAUAGCGAGCGUGGAAAAGUGGUGGUAGGAGUUGCGAAAUUGUCCCUAAGCAAUUGACUACUUUACUAGAUCUAUAGCAAGUUUUAUGUGGGAGAGGCCACUGCUAGCAUGUCAUCCCUGACUUGGAAUUCUAUGCACUUAUGAUUGGAACUAUUAGCAAGCAUCCGCAACUACUAACGUUCAUUAAGAUAAAACCCAACCAUAGCAUUAAGAUAUAUUGGUCCCCCUUCAAUCCCGUAUGCAUCAAUUUCUAUGCUAGGUUGAAGCUUCUGUCAUUCUUGCCCUCCAAUACAUAGUCCUAUCAACAUACAACUAACCCUAUGGUGUGAUCCACGCGCGUACUCAUAUGAUGGGCAUCAAAGGACAACAACAUAACCACAAGAAAAUUAAACCAAUCAUAUCAAUUCACCAAUUACCGAUAGGACAACAAAAAUCUACUUAGACAUCAUAGGAUGGCAACACAUCAUUGGAUAAUAAUAUGAAGCAUAAAUCACCAUGUUCAAGUAGAGGGUACAUCGGGUUGCGGGAGAGUGGACCGCUGUAGAUAGAUGGGGGAAGGUGAUGAAGAUGUUGGUGAAGAUGACGGAGGUGUUGGUGUAGAUCGCCGUCACACGAUGAUGGCCCCGGCAGCGUUCCAACGCCACCGGGAGAGAGGGGGAGAGGGCCCCCUUCUUCUUCUUCUUCAUUGACCUUCUCCCUAGAUGGGAGAAGGGUUUCCUCUCUGGUACAUGGCCUCCAUCGCGGCGGAGGGGCGAGAGCCCCUCCAAGAUUGGAUCUGUCUCUCUGUUUCUGCGUUCCAGAUUCUGGCCUUUCAUCGUUUCUUAUAUUCCCGGAGAUCCGUAACUCCGAUUGGGCUGAAAUUUUAACACGAUUUCUAUCCGGAUAUUGGCUUUCUUGCGUCGAAAGAAGGGCACCAACCACCUUGCGGGGUGGCCACGAGGGCCAGGGGCGCGCCCCACCCCCAGGGGCGCGCCCCCUACUUCCUGGCCCCCUUAGGCAUCGUCUCGCGUUGAUUCUUUUUUGCAAAAGUCACAUAUAUUCCAAAAAAAAUCUCCAUAAGUUUUUGUCCCGUUUGGACUCCAUUUGAUAUGAAUUUUCUGCGAAACAAAAAACAUGCAACAAACAAGAACUGGCACUGGGCAGUGGAUCAAUAUGUUAGUCCCCAAAAAUAGUAUAAAAAGUUGUCAAAAGUAUAUGAAAGUUGUAUAAUAUUGGCAUGGAACAAUAAAAAAUUAUAGAUACGACGGAGACGUAUCAAAAGCUGUUGUAAAUAUGCAACUUUCUUAUGUUGAUCAUUUUUUCAUACUCCCGACGGUGUUAAAAGUUUUUCAUCUAAAAUUCAUUCAGUGUAGUAGUUAAACUUCCUACUUUUUUCACGUUGAACUUCUGUGAUGUAUUUAUAAUUGCAAUUUUCUCAUCCAUUCGUCAGUAUUACACAAAUGAUAUUCCUUUUGUACAAACCUCUCUCAUAAUAAAUUUUUUUAACUUUCUCCGACCGAGGACUUGAACUUACAACAACAACAAAAUUGGACCGUGCCUUUUAAUUCAUUUUUCUCAUGAACACACAUGUAGUACAUGAACUUUUUCCAUUUUUACAAAUUAAAUUUUUUAUUUUCUUUUUGAAAUCAAAUUACUCCCAAAUAAUAACUGAACUUGUUUGUGGAUUGAGAAAAAUAUUGUAAAAUGAAAAAAAACAAUAUUGUGUGUGUUUUUGAACAUGGAAAUACAAGGUGAACCUCUCUCACAAGAAUUUUUGAACUUCCUCGGACAGAGCACUUGAAGUUCUUUCAACAAACCUUUUAAGCUUUUAUUAUUCUAUACUUUUAUUCUCACCUGAAAUGCAUUCCUUAGAGUACUUCAACUUCUCGUUGUUUUCACUAUGAACUUGUUUCAACACAUAAGAUUUUUUUUAAUACAUAAAAAUGUGUUUUUAAUGGUAUACAUGAAAAAUUUAAAAUGUUCAUCAAAAUGUAGCACAUAAUAUACCCGAUGGAAAGCUUAUGAAUAGCAGUAAGUUUUUCAUGUAAACAUGUGUUACAAAUUCGUUGCGGUUUGAGAGGAGUUUUUAAAAUGGCAAUACAACGUUGUUUUUUGCCUUUUUUUUCAACAUGUAAAUGAACGACAAUCGUCUCACACAUGAAUUUUGACUAUGCUAGGAGGAGCACGUGAACUUCUUGCAACCAACCUUUUUAUGAUUUUUGUUUUCUAUUUUUAUAUUCUUAUCUGAAAUGCAUUCCAUGCAGUAGUUGAACUUCCCGCUGUUUUCACCUUAAACUUCUAUUACGUAUUUUUGUUCAACCUCCCUCACAAGAAUUUUUGAAUUUUCUCGGGCCGACCACUUGAACUUCUAGCAAAAAAUUAGACUUUGCCUUUUUUUUCUCAUACGGAAUGCACACCAUGAAGUACAUGAACUUCUGGCUACUAUCAAUUUGAACUUCUCUCUAUUUCGCUUUAGUAACGAAAAAAGUAGAGUUUUUGUUAGACAAUGAACCACUCUAACUUUCUUACUUUAACUUCUUUGUGUAUUUUUUAGAAAUGUGAAAAUUAUAGUUUUGUUAGAAACAUUGAACUUCUUCGUUACUUUGAAUUGAAAUUAUUGUUUUUUUUUCUUUAGUAAUCAGAAAAAACUGAGUAUUUGAAUAAAUAUCAAACUGCUAUGCUUUUUCCAAUUGAAUUUCUUCGUUAUUUUGAAUUGAACUUAUUUGUUUUAUUCUUUAGUAACCAGAAAAAUCCGAGUUUUCAAAUAUAAUAUCAAACUACUACUUUUUUUUGAACUUCUUGUCCCAUUUUUUAAUAAUGAGGAAAUCUGAAUUUUGUAUAACCAUCGACCUCAUCCUCUUUUUUAUUUUGGACUUCUUAGUUUUAUUUCUUUUAGUGAUGGAAAAAAUCCUAGUUUUUAAAUAAACAUCGAGCCACUCUGUUUUUUUAAUUUGAAAUUCAAGGUUUUUUGUGGAAAUGAAAAAAAUCUAUUUUUGAUUAAUAGUGAACUUGUGUAUUUUUAAAUUUUGGACUUUCUUGGUAUUUCAAUUUGAACUUCUUAGUUUUUAGUUUUUUAGAAACAAUUUUUUUAAUAAACUUCGAAUCACGUCGUCGUUUCAAUUUGAACUUCUUGUUUGAUUUUUUUAAUUGAGGGGUGGGGUUGGUUAUUUUGUUUUUGUAAAGUUGUGUUGUUUUUUUUGUAAACUUUUCAAUUGUUUAUUUUUGUUAAAGUCGUUUUUGCUUUUUUAUAUAUUAACUUCCAAGAGUUGAUUUUGUUGCUUUUUCCAAAAAAAAUCGCAUCAAGGAUAUAUAAGAAUAGUUUUUUGCAUGCACAUAUGAUCGUUCUGUAGAUAAUAUACAUGAAGGAUGCGAUGUGUGAAAUUUUACCAAAAUUGAACGAGCAUAUGAAGUCGUUGGUGUACGCCCCAAGCCCUCUAUGGAACAAUGCAAAAUUUUGCAAUGUUUUUUUUUGCUAGGGAAGCAAGCAAUAGUCGUAGUAUUGAAGUAUAAGCUUCUCCCAUAUUAGUGUUUGUUCCAAAAUGAACAUUUUGAACAACGCACAACACGCAUUAUGAACUUCUCCUCAACCAUCUUUUUGUUCAUUUUUUAUUUUUGUUUUUACAGUACACAAACGGUGUCCCAACUCAUAUAUUUUUUCAAGUGACAAAUUGUUAUUUUUGGAAAGAACCACAUUGAGCUAUGAAUAUGUCUGAUCGAAAAUUCAGGUUUGGGAAGCAAGUUGUGUGUGUUGGGCAACAAGGGAUACAUAAUUCUGAACCGAAAGUGUUUGUUUUGCUUCAGGCAAUAUUUCUUUCAGAUUUAGUAUAAAGAUUCAGUAAGGAUUCAUGGAAUUAGCAAUAUUAAAGCAAGAAUACCCAACAUCGCUUGUGUAGAUUCAGCCAACGAAAACCAUACAUGUGGGACUUGAACUACCGUAGAUGAAUGACAAUAGUAGAACAUAUUUAAAUUCUUGGCAUGGAAGGUCAACUUUGUUCUGCUCUCCAGAGCGUGACGCUAGCCAACACACGUCCAGCAAGCCCAUAAGCACACAUGUCUAGUAUCCAGCAACAGCAAGGAAUGCAAACCACCGCGAAGAAAAGUGCAUAGCUGUAGUAGGACUUUGGCGUAUAGUUGUUGUAGAACUUCAUGCAACGUCUAUGAACAUCCGAAUGGUUGUAAAGGGGAAAAUGAGAAAUUUUCCUGUAAAUUAGACACACACAUGCACACCCCUGCAGUUUUAUCAAGAUUGUUAAAUCCAGUUAGCACAUUUUCACAUGAGCAACACAUCCACAUGUAGGAGCACGUCUGAUGUACCUGAGAACUCAUAUAUAUGCACCUACAGGAAGAGCAUCAAGUCUCAUAUACGGUUAAACAUUUUUUCUAUAUUCUUUGGUGCACCUGAACCUUUGCAACAUUUUUACAUAAACUUCUUGUUUUAUGGGAGAGAGAGCACUUAGCCGGAGAGGGUUCACCGUUUCUAAUGCCAGAAGAGGUCAUCGGUAGGGGAGGCAGUGUAGAAAAAAUCUUUGUGGUGUCCCGCAGCCGGUGUAGAGCCGAGUAGCACGCAGCCGGUGUCCUGCGAAGGAUCUACACGAGCGAGCAGGCGAGGAGGCACUGCACGCGGAGACGAGGUUGGACUACACGACGGUCGGUAUUGGACGGUGCAUGGGCCGCCUCGGCGCUCGAAGCUGCACUAGACAAAGCCCAGGAGGACGAGCGUCAUGCAGGACUGGUGCAACAACGUGGAUUGGGGCCGACAGGACGCUGGUGGCUGGCGGUGGAGACCAGGAGGCCGGACAAGAUGGCGUUGAGCCACUGGCGGCGUUAGUGCGGAGAAGACAUAGUGUUGCGAAGCAGAGGCCACUGUAGGGAGUGUGGACAGGGGAUUGGGAGAGUGGGGCUCACCGGCCCUAGGCGGAUCCGCGCGCGUCGAUGGUCGUGGUUACCGGAUCCUCGCCGGCGCCACACGAAGGUAGCGGUGGUUACCGGAUCCUCGGUGGCGGCUUGCGGGGCAGGCGGUGGUGGCUGGAUCCGAGGUGGUGGCGAGUUGGAUAGCUGGCGACGGCGUCUCUUGUUGGGGACAGGGCGGCGACGACGGAAGCGGUCGGUGGCGGGGCGGCGGCGGCGACGGUCGGUGGCGGGGUGGUGUUGGCGACGGGCGGUGGCGGGGCCACGAGGGCGUCUCCGGUUAGGGGCGGGAUGGUGGCGCCUCGCCAGUUGGGGGUGGGUGCCUGGGUGGUGCAGGGGAUCGGGGAUCGGGGAUGGGGUGGUAGUUUUAGAAUCGGCCUUUUCUUUUUGUUUCAGCGAUUUUCGGAGGAACCCUGCCGGGCCUUUAUAGGAAGUUGUGAUUCAAAUAACUAUUCUAAUCAUAGGAUUAGAAUAGUGCUAUUAUAUAUAUAUAUAUAUAUAUAUAUAUAUAUAUAUAUAUAUAUAUAACUAUGCAUACUGUUCCGAAGUUCAAUGUUCAGUUUACAAGCAGUGCACCAAAUGUUUAUGCAUCAGUUAUAGGAAAAAAGAUUAAAAAACCUAUGCAUAACAGAUGCAUCAGUGCUGAACAUGUCCAUUCACCAGUUCGACUGAAACUAUAUCAGAUACAAAAUAGACAACAAAGUUUAAUAACGCCUAGCGAUGCAAGUUCAACUUGUACAUUACCUUCAGUGCAUGACAUGUUACCCAUAUCAUGUAUAUGAGAAAAUGCAGAAAAGAUUAAUCCCAAAACUAUUGAAUGUCAUUCCAGAAACAUGCAAGGUGGCACACGUAGGGAGGGUUUGAUGAGCCAAGAAGAUAUGAGGCACCGUCUGGCUGGGUAACACCAGAAAUAGCACCUGGAUACUUCAACAAUACAUGCAGAUUUCAAGCUACACCAGAAUCAUGAGAAGCACGGACUGGUUCUUCUAUGCAGCAGACACCGAUAUCUAGGAAUACAAGCUUUGCCACUGCUGGGGUGCAACAAGGUCAACAAUGUCCCCAACAACAAAUAUUUUCCUUUCCUAGCGCAAGCAGAAAGGCAAGGACACUCAGGCUUCCACCCGUCACUCCAUCAACAUCAAUCAUCUGUGCUACAAAAGCGGUUGCGACGGGAAGACGAGGCCAAAGAGACAGGAAUGUUUGCCACUCUAGCAGGGUGCAAAGUAGAAGAUAUGAGCCAUAUAGAUAGGAGCAACCUGCUAGUGAAUCUCAGGGAAGACGACCGUACAAUGAGAGACGGAGAGCUUCAUCAACAUUGCUGCAUGUGCCGAGGGUGACACCACCCGCGCCCAUACACCAGGGUGAACAGCAAACACCGGAUGUAGCGCGGAGCUAUGCACAUGUAAGUAUCCAUUCAGAAAAAACAUACAACCACAGUCCAUACCCUAGUACUGUGACCACCCCAUCUAACAUUUUCAUCACUGUGUUUUUGUUUGCUCACUGUUGUGUGCAGCCACCUAACAUUGAAGCUUACGUUCUGCCAAGGCUAGAGAUGCCCUUUGAAACUUUCAAAGAAGCAAAGAACUUCUACAACGUCUAUGCAAAGCACGCGGGUUUUGCUGUCAGAGAAGACUCCAAGGUUAACACCAAGUCUACCUUUAUUGCACGUGCUAUGGAGUCUAUGAAUUGAAGGUGUCAGAAGCAAAUAGAUAGCGGAACAAGACCACAGCCAGGACUAAUUGCGGGGCUAAAAUGAGGCUGAAGAGGGAAAAUGAUGGAACACUUGUCGUAAAAGAGAUAAUCUGGGAACACAACCACAGGCUACAUCUCUCCCCCAAAUGCUUGUCUUCUUGCACUCCCACAAAAACUUUGACAAAACAAUCUUGGAGUACAUCAAGUACCCGUGGUUCAAAGGCACUGAACACGCGUAAAUCAUGAGCAUACUGCGCGGUGAUGACCCCGGUAGCUACUUCCCCGAAAUGAAUGCCAAAGACCUGAUUAACAUGUAAGUACAAACUUGUUCUCCUCCCAUAAACCCCCUCCAUCUUUUUUCCUCUGUCAGUACAAACAUAUUACGCAACACAUGACCUAAUGCCAGUUCAACAUGCAUUUUUGAAUGACUGUUCACUUUUAAUAUGCAAGAAAGCAAAGAAUUCAAGGAUGGAUGAUGUGGACGAUGUCCUAAACACUGUCAACUUAUUUAGGGAGAUGAAAGCGAUAAACAAGGAAUUCUUCUGCGACAUACAACUUGAUGAGUCCGACAGAGUGAAGAACAUAUUCUGGGCGAACGCAGGCUGCCGAGGGGCAUAUCAAGACUUUGGUGACUGCGUAACGUUUGAAACCACAUAUAAGACCAACAAGUACCAUAUGCCACUUGGGGUGUUUGUGGGUACUAACAACCACUUACAGACUAUAUUCUUUGCUUUCGCCCUGAUAAUAGAUGAGGAUGCAGAUUCAUUCACAUGGUUGUUCAAAAGCAUUUUGAAGGUGCAUGAGAGGGAAGGCUCCUUCAUGCAUCCUCACAGGUACAAACGCCACCCCCAAAGGAAAAUAACAUAGUAAAAUUAUUGUGUCGGUUCUAUUUGUAUAUAUGCACUACCAUCCGCUGACCACUCCACGUCUCUUUUCUCAUUACCAGACCAGUGCCCGGCAAUGGCUUUGGCGAUCCCAGAUGCUUUCGGGGACACAGUACAUAAGCUAUGCCGCUGGCACAUUAUGAAGAAGUACAGGGAACACCUCGCAUACCUAUACAACCUCCACGAAGAGUUUAACGAUGAAUUCACAGCAAUCCUCAACUAGCCCCUCAUGCCAACUGAGUUUGAGGCUGCCUGGAAAGCACUCAUAGAUAAGUACAACCUCCAUGAUGAUGCCACAACGGUGGCAAUGUGGAACGAGCACGAGAAAUAGAUAUCAUCUUACUUCAAAGAAAUUUUCUGUGCCAAAAUGACGUCCACACAAAGGAGUGAGAGCAUGAACUAUGUGCUCAAGAAGAACUUCAUAAGUGAGAGACAAAACCUGCACCGGUUCGUCAGCCAAGUAAACUCCUGCGUCAAAACCAGGAGGCAGACAGAGAACUAGGAGACAAUAGGUAACCGGGUAUAGCUCUAUCACCUGUCGUAAGACAAAAUAACGUGCUUACUAAAGUAAAUCUUUCUUAGUUAGACAAGUUUUUGCUGUGAGAAAAUUAAUAAUUUGUUCAUGACUCUUGCUUGCACAGAAGGAACAAAACACGCUGACCUUCUAUGGGUUUGACAAUCAGAUGGCAAAGCUUUACUCAUGAGCUGUGUACAGCGAGAUCAGAAAAAGGCUAAAACUAAGCACCCUCUUCACGGUGACAGAGACGGAAGAGCCCAGAAAGUACCUUGUGCACUACAACAAACCACAAAAACUGUUUGCGUGGUCUCAGCACGCGUUCCAGGUGGUUGCAGACCCCAUGGGAGAAAUAUUUGACUGCAAGUGCAAGCUGUGGGACCACAAAGGCGAGGUCUAAAAAAGAUGUUACAUACUGUAGUACUUAUUUUUGCAAAGUUUUUGUUCGAAUGAAAUGACAGAAAACAUGCACCUCUUUCAAAAAAUAGGUAUUUUCUGCCUGCAUGUCCUAUGCAUGAUGCAUAUAAUUAAGGCUGACCGUGUUCCAGAGAAAUACAUCCUCAGGAGAUACACCAAACACCCGAACAUCCAGCCAACAUUCAACAGAAAUGACUUGAGGACAGUAGCGUCAAACAAGGCCUCCCAAUACGGCAUUGAAAGCGCACCGCUGUAGCUGAACAUGUGGGUGCACAGAAAAAGCUUGAGAAGCCAUGAGAAAAUGGCGAGGUCACAUGUCAUCAUGGAAAGACUUGACCAAGAACUCGACGCCAUGCAUUCUGCUGAAAAUGACAAUGUCGCGGACAACGAAGCCAUUGAGCAGGAUAUUGCUACAAUCUUAUCUGAGAUGAACCAUCUGGGAGCUAUUGACCCAUACGACAACGAGGAAGAGGAGCAACAGCAACCAGAGCUUGCCCAUGUGCACACUCAAGAGCAACAACAUGCUCACGUGCAAGAUCAUGAGCUUGACGGUGCUGUAGGCGAACGACAUGAAAACAGGACAUCCUACCAGCAGCAGCAGGAAAGGGUAAUUAAACCACCCAUAUUCUCAAACACAAGGGGGGGGAUAAUAAGACGCAAGCAGCGAAAGCAGCAAAAGCAGCAGCCAAAAAGCCGCCACGCCCCAUCAGACGCGUGGAAUUCGGCCCGGAUGGCAAACCUCUCGGGAUAAGGGCAUGCGGAUUCGGCAACAUGGUGACCAAUCAUAAUUACCACACAUGCCCAUAGCACACAUAUGCCACUAUCAACAAGCAAAAGCUGUAGAAGUAGAUUGGAGCCGCCCAGGUUUCUACCAAUGGAGACGACUCACGUAACAGCUACACUUGCAACAAGUGUGGGGGGACCGACGGACAUAAUGCCCGCACAUGCAAAGUGGGCAAGGAGGUCAGUGGCGCUGAACAGAAAUAGGGCAAGGUCCAAAGUUCCAAGAAAUCAAAAGAAGAGGAUGAGGAAGAAGAGUUUGACAAGAAUGGCGACCAAUCAGAUGAAGACAAUGAAGAUGACAGUAUUGGGGACGAGGAAAAUGAAACUGACGAUGAAGCUGCCAAGGCUCAAGCAGGAAAGGACGCCAACAAGGGACAACAUUCGGGGCCAGUUAGAAGGAGCUCAAGAUUGAAGAAUCCAUAGUGGUUAUGCUGCUGCAUCAACUCAAAAAUAAGCUUGUACUCUUGGUUGCCUCGGUACACAAUGAGGAAUCAUAUCAGAAACACUGUCGUUACCAAAACUUAUUUAGCUUUAUCAUCGAUUUCUCGAUCAGUACUAUAGUUAAGAUAUAAUUUGUGAUUUGUGCCCGCUGGACCAGUGACAUUAUUACAUAAACCAUUUGAUAAACCUUUUGAAUGCAGUCACAAAUAUAUUUGAAAAAAUUGAUCUGGAUUUAUGUAACGUCAACACUACUAUCGACCAGUAACUCAGCAAAAAUUUGUUAAAGAAAAUUUAAACUCUUAUUGUAGAUCAGUAUUUGAAAACAAUCAGUACAAUUUGAGUUGCUUAACAACGCUUCAAAAGUUGAAGCAAAAAAUCUUAGUACUUCAUGUACUGUUCUCAUCCAUAUGUAGCUGCUAGAAAAUUAACAAGUACUACAACUGAAAAAGUUAAGAAGCAUCAGCACACACUUAUAUUGGUCACUUGCAGACUAAGAAUGAUAGUACUAGUACACUUGAACGGAUAGUACAUAUUUACUACAAUAAAAAGUACAAAGAAGCAUUAGUUCGCAAUCCCUCAAAGAAAUAAAUGUCAGACUAAGCACAUAAGUGCUACUAUGAAUGAACUCUCAGUACAACUUAGUUUACAUGCAAGUACUAUAGUGCUAAAAAUGAUACCAGAAGACCCUUGAGAAUAAUCACAAAAACAAACACAAAAAGAAGGCAAAAACUCAAUGGAAAGAUAACACUUCCACAAAACUCACAAGAACUACAACAAAAAGUAUCAGUCCACAUUACUGGUGGAGUCAAGUAUUAGAUUCAAACCCAAAAAAAAUUAAAAAUUGACAGCCCGAAGACAGGCAAGCCCUGACACAGCUAGAUACUUGAACUCGAGCCCACGACGGAACCGUUGGCGAAUCCCUAGUAAUCGGCACAACACAGGGCCAACCAACCAGGGCACACGGGUCAUGAGAGGGAGCGAGCGUCGUGUAUAAGUGCUCAGGUAAGUAUCCAGAGGAGUUCGACCAGUAAGACUCGACAGCGCUUAUAAACAGGUCGAGAGCCCCCUCGCUUAGCGAGGUGGGACUAAACCCAGAGCACACGCACAUCCAACAGUCCUCAAAUCGCCCGCGCGGGCCAUUUGGGCCAAAAAGGGCCCAAUAGCCUCCAUCUUCUCCAAACACCCCACCCAUAAGGCCAAUUGAAUAAAGCAGAGCGCGAGGCAAAGAAAUAUAAACUACAAAAAAAAUGUUCGAAAACUGGAAAUAAAAAAGUUCAAAUACUUGUUCGCAGGAAAUAACUUUAAAUACAAAAAUAAAAAUAAUUUUAGCUCUGCACCAUAGAUGAUAAAAAUGGAAAAAAUAUGAUAUAAAAACAACAAAACUUUGAAAAGUGGAGAACUUAAUAGGCUAUAUGUUAAAUGUACAUAAUUUAAACCAGCGAAUUAAAUAUUACUUUCAAGUUCAACUACUAAAAUGCAAGAAGUUCAAAUAGAUAUUGUUUGUCAAUUAUGCUAAAUUUCUUAUUUAUAUAAAAUCUGACUAGAGCUCAACUAACGAUUUCGUCGUAAAUAAUCUACAUCCCAAAAAAACUCAGUUCAAACAUACAUACGACAUCAGUACUACAAAACCAGGAAGGGUCAGGCCACUCACCUUACAUCCACACACCAUUGUGACACCAAUUUUCAAAACCUUACGCUAUAUGAAAUUACAAUUCAGUACCCACAGCACUAAACCAUAAGUACACUAAAAAGAGAGUACAAAAACUAUAAAGGCCUAACUUAGGUUGGGACAGAUGAAAAUAAAAUAAGUCCUAGUUUUGAGGAAUAGCUCACAGUGCAGUAAAAAAAGUUUUGAUAUCAACUAGUGUAUAAGACUACAGUGCAAAAAUAAGACUUAUCCUCCACACUAAAAACAUAACAAAGUAUAUGUCACUUAAACAAUACAAAAUGCCAUCAUCACUGACCCUGAGACAUGCAAGUGGGAUAAACACCUGAUAAGUAUAGCUUAACAAGACGGAUCAGUGCGACAGUAAAAAACCCUUGGCUUGGACGGUUGGUUCUUCCAGGCCACCACCCGCGCCACCCACUGGGCGGUUGCCACGACGGACUACAAUGGUGACCCCACGACCAGUACCCCCAUGACCGGGAAGAACCGCCUCCCCCACGUCCCAAACCACGCCCUCCAAAAGCCCCAAAUCGACUCCAUCCCUGCCACAUCUCUAAAAACCACCAUUGCCGCUUCGAUCUCCACUACAAACAACCCACAAACAUCUCUGUUCCGAGCCCACAGUCGCCAGGAGGGCAAUGGCAGAGGAACCAUCUGCCAAGCGUCAUCGUGGCGAGACGUCCGACCAGAGCAGCAACCUCGACGAUGUUCAUGUCCCCGACAAGAAGCGCGAGUACACCCGAACCCACACAGGGGUUGAGCUCCACGGCAAGGAGACACUGGAGAUUGUCUGCACCAGUGAACCAGACAAGGCUGACGAGAUGAUGAGCAGGCUCAGGAUGAAGCGCGACGGCUUGUAUCCUAGCUUCAUCGGAGUUGAUGUGGAGUUUACCAAAAAAGAUGAACCUCCCCAGAUGGCAGCAGUCCUGCAGUUAUGCGUGGAGGAACUCUGCUUGGUGUACCACAUUGCAGCAGCCACAAAAUGGUGAUCCAUACUACUCUUCAUUCAUAUGUUUUAUUAGUACUACUCCCUAAAAAUUUCAUUAAACUUGUUUCCCAACUAGAUGAACUACUGUAGUUUGUGAACUGGAUGCACGAGUACAUGUUUCUCAAGUAGAUGCGCUAUAAUAUAAUUUGAAACUGAUGCACUGGAUUAGCAUCUGAAAUUGUUUCACCAGAUUAAUUUCUGAACUUGAUGUACUAGCAUAGUUUCUAAUCUUGAUGCACUAGUGUAGUUUAUAUAGUUGAUCUAUUAAAAGAUGUUUCUAAACUUGAUGUACAGAAGUAUUUUCUGAACCUGGUCUGAUGUUAUUUUCAGCAGCAAAAAGUAAAGUAAGAAUUUGGUCAAGCACUGGUAUAGGUCUUUUAUUCAACAAAAAGAAAACUAAAAUUGAAGUAAGCAGCACAUAGAUCAUUUACUCUGGUUAUAGGUUCUUGAAAUUGGUGAAGCAUUUGGUGAAGCACUGAAGAUACCAAAAAAGAAAAAUAACAUGAUGUACUUGAAUUUAAUUUCAAAACUUUGUGUACUAGUUUCUGAACUACAUUCAUCCAUGACUUAUACUAUAUAAGCAUCUACCUCAUGGAUUAUCACUUGUAAACCAAAAAACAGAAGGAUUAAAUCUUCAAAAAAGAACACUAAUCUUCAAUAUGUGUCUCCCCCUUGCAGGCCCAAGUGCCUCAAAGAAUUCCUGCAGGAGCAGAAAUUGUACACAUUUGCCGAUUUCAGCAUUGAAGGUGACAAAAGAGAAGUUGAAGAUGUCUGGUUUGGAGAUCAACCCCAAGAACUUCACCGACAUUCAGCGCAACUGGAGAGUUCUACGCAUCGGAAAAGAGUACGACUCCUUGGCUGAUGUUGCAGCCAGUGUCAUCCACCCAUUCUACAAAAGCAUGAAGAAGAAGAUAGAUAAGGAGGAAGACCACAAACUGUGGGGGAUCAGCCCGCUCCCAUACAAGCUCAUCGAGUACACAGGAAUAGAUGUGUACGCCACAUACAAGUCAUGGAAGAUAAUUGACAACAUCAUAACAGGUUGGGAAAUUUCAAAAGAGGAGGAGGCUGACCCAUACUACCACUGCCACUACGCGAUAUGAAGAGACAUCAAAGUCUGCCUUCGUGUUGCUUGCGCUUAUGCUUGUCCUUUAACUUGUUGUUUCAAAUUUGUAGUUUGCUUUUGUUAGGUUGAGCCAGCUUUCUUAUGCCAUGUGUGUCAGGGUUGAACAAGUUUGCUUAUGUAAUCAAGUACAUCGUUCGCUUGUGUCAUUGAACAAGUUUGAUAGCUUUCUAUUUUGUUUAUCCAUCAUUUGAAGUUGAAGUAAGUUGUGAAUGAAACUUUGUGGCUGCUAUGCAACACUAGUCAUGGAGCAACAAAUCACAGAUGGAUAUUUUCACAAAAUAGUGGCAGACUAAAAACAAUAACAAAUAGUAGCCUUGGACGCUCAGUACAACUUUGUCCUAUAUUGUAGUACUAUCACACUAAAAAUUAGUUUUUAGUUUCAGAAGAACACUAAAAAUACUAAGUUGCAGCCGAGGACAACAUUCAGUACUAAUAGCAUCAUGCUUAUAGUCAUUAGAAAAUUACUAAGUACUACAACAGGAAAAACCAAGAACCAUCAGUACGUAUUUCAUAGUCACUAGCAUACUAGGUGUGAAAGUACUGGUACACUUGAACACAUAGUACAUCCAUUCUACAAAAAUAAAAAGGAACGGGAAGUGUCAGUUCGCAUUCCCUAAAACAGUGACACACUAAGAAUAAUAGUGCUAGUACAAUUGAAAUCUCAGUACAACCUAGUUUAUACGACAAGUACUAUGAUGAUACCAAAUAAUGCCUUGAGAAUAACCACAGCCUAGAAAAAAGAAGGCCAAAACUAAAUCAAAAAGAUGUCAGUUCGACCAAGGAGAAAAAACACAAGAACCACAACAGAAGCACCAGUCCAAAUUGACCAAUGAGGUACUAGUUUCAAACAAUACAAAACAAAAUGAUCAUGGUGCUAGUACAAUUGAAAUCUCAGUACAACUUAGUUUAUAUGGUAAGUGCUAUGAUGAUACCAAAUAAUGCCUUGAAAAAGAAGGCCAAGACUCAAUCAAAAAGAUUACAGUUCAAUCAAGGACAAAAAAUCACAAGAACAAACAACAGAAGCAUCAGUCCACAUUAACCAGUGAGGUACUAGUUUCAAACAACCAAAAAAAUGAUGACCACCCAUGGACAGGCCAACCAUGCACAGGAGGAUACACUUGGACUCAAGCCCAUGACGGAACCAUUGGCGAAUCCAUAGUAAUCGAGACUAUGCGGGCCAGCCGUCAAGGGCCAACAGGUCAUGGAAUAGAGAGCGAGCGCCGUGUAUAAGCGCCCAGGUUAGUAUAUAGAGGAGUUCAACAGGCAAGGAACAACAAUGCUUAUAAACCGGUCGAGAGCCCCCUCGGCUAGCGAGGUGGGACUAAACUUAGAGCACUUGCAUAGCCAGCAGUCCACAGUCAUGUGCACGGGCUAUUUGGGCAAAAAAAGGGCCCAAUACGACUACUACUCCCUCCUCUCCAAACUCUCCUCGCCCCACCCCAUAAGGCCCGCUGAAUAAACCAGAGCGCGUGCCAAAGAAAAUAUAAACUAGUACAAAAAAGUUCGAAAACUUAAUAUAGAAACGCUCAAAUACAUGUUUGCACGCAAAAUAAUUCUAAAUUCAAAUACAAAAAUAAAAUAAAUUUACCUCUUCAGCACAGAUAAAAGGAUUAAAAAUAUGCUACAAAAACAAAUAUACUUUGAAGUUCAACUAUAUAUGCUACAAAAAUAAUUAUGAACUUAAUAGGGCUAUCUGUUAAAUGUAGCUAAUUUAACCAGUGCUUUAACUUUUACUAUGAAGUUGAACUACUAGAAUGCAAGAAGUUCAAACAAAUAUUUGGCUCUCAAUUUUGCUAAAUUUCUUAUACAAGGAAGCAUCACUCCACUCAUGCUAGAUCCACAAAUACUAUUGUGACACCAAAUUUUAAAAGCCUUAUGUUGUAUGAAAUUACAAUUUGGUACUCACAGAACUAUACCAUAAGUACAAGAAAAGAGGGUACAUAAACUAUAAAGGUCCAACUUAGGUUGGGACCGAUGAAAAUAAAAUAAAUGUCACCUUUUCAGCAACAACUCGUAAUGCACUUGGAAAAAAGUGUUUUAGUUCAACUAGUAUAUAAGACUUCAGUGCAAAAAUAAAACUUAACCAAAACAAAUUCCCGAUAAAACAUACACAAGUGAAACAGCUGUUCAACCACAUUCUCAUCAUGGAAAAAAGUUUGUAAAACGUUGUGCCACACUUAAAAACAUCACAAAGUAUACCGGUUAUUACAUAGUUGACAAGACACCCAAACACUACAUACAAAGCCUACAAUGCUUUCAAGACAUAAAUCACACAAGUAUCCCAUUCACUAUGCAAAUGAUAACCAUUUGUUCUAUGCACCAGGAGCCAAAGCUUGAACCUCCUCGGGAAGCUUGUAGCACCCCAGCUUAGAGCAACCAGUUUACCUUGCAUUGCCAGCCUAGAGAUCAAGUCUUCUGGCAACACACAACAACUUGGUACAAAAAACAACCACUUUAUUGAUGCUAGCAGAAACAUAGGUUCAAUAUUACAUCAAGUAGCGAGGCCAAGCAGCACACACGGUGCGGCUGAACAAUAUGUACAUUAUUUAAUGAACAUGAAGGGGCCUCGAUCACGAUAACUACGCGACAGCGGAACGACGACGAAGCGGAACUCCAUAGCACAGGGACACCGAUGUGGACACGAUCUAGACACGGGAAGCACUUCGAUCCGGUAAGACUUUCCUGAAAUCUGGCAUGACACGCCAGGUCAGUACAUUGAAUGUACUUGCAAGCUCACAACAAGCAUAAGCAUAAUGGCAAACAAUAUCAUGACAAUUAAUCAAUUUAAAUGGAAUGCAAUAACAUACUACUAAUGUAGUGAAUAAAACUUGUGCACCGAGUCCCUCGGACUCUCUUACCAAACGGGUUACCUCGUAACCAAGAUCAUCAUACGGUGAUCACUCCCGGAUCACAGACGAACCAACACUUUGGUUCCGACGAUAACGACCAUCUUCAUGGUCUCACAAAUCCCGUCACAUAAUCAGUGCCAAGCAUAUAAGUUUAGUGUGCAAGAUUACUUAAUCAUGUUGAUCCAUGGUGUGAUCUACUUACGAGCUGUGUCCGUAACUGAGGAUGCGGCUAUCGAUAGAUUUAAUAAACACUCUGCGGAGGUAGUAGACUGGACCCACACUACGGAACCCAUGGCCGUGUCUCGUCUCUCUUCCGCAUGAGGCGUGCGAGCCGCGAGGUACCCCUCGAUGCUGGAAAGCCUCGUGGACCGCGGAGGAACGGAUGGGAUAUUCGGGGCUGACCCAGUUGAAACCCAGUGUGCCAAACGGCACUCUUGGGCUUUUAGGGGCUUUAAGCCUGACGGGGAAAUCCACUAAAAAACCCUGUGAUCGCAGUGUGCCAAACAAGGCCUCAUGCCUUGUUAGGCAGGAAGGGUUUUCAAGCCCCAAUGGGGCUGGGGAUUAUUGGGGAUUUGGUGAACCCCUCCCCGCACCAAAUCCCCUCAAAUCCACUUCCGCCUCCCAAGCCCCUUCCCCAUCUAUCCAUAUAUGAGUGUUUGGCAUGUAGGGACAAAUUUGGUCCAUUUUAAACAUGAACUUCAACAACACACUGGUAAAAAUCCGAUCUUUACUAUUGAACAGGCUGAAGCAUCAGUGGCCAUAUCAUCAAGUACUACUAAAAGCAACAAAUCAUAAUCUUUAAGAUCAAUGGCAUCUAAACUAAGAACAUCAAAGGCCAUACAACACGAUCAGAUCAUAGUUUAAACAUCAUAUGUCAAACACAGGCAUGCAUCAGCAUGUACCAACGACACCUAGGGUGCAACACAAACAUCACUUAAAUUCGGUUUCUGCUUCCCAGCAUAGUUUCAGUUUCGCAACGACAGGCAUGCAUCACUUCAGUUCCAUCGCAUCCCUGAAAGUAGCAACUCAAUCAAAACAUUAGACAUACCAGUCAAACAAUUCACAGCUACAAGAGUACUUCAAAUACUUUCUGAAGAAAGAAAAGUAACAGGGGGGAAAUAUGGCAUGGAGCCCGUUUCUUAUACUUCAUGAUCUAAAACAGAUGGACUCACUCUCCUUUGUCAAAAAGUAUAACAAAAUUUAUAUGUGAUGUACUUGAGCCAGAUUUAACUUGAUGCAAACAGAGAAAAGCAAGCUCUAGCAUCAGGUCACAUAGAUAUCUCACAUCGAGUACUAGCACUGGAAACUCACAACUAAAAAUUUAUACGUACAUACCAUAUAUACACUACAGAAGGUUGACAGAAACUCUUUGCAUAUACACUGCGGAUCAUAUAUAUGUACAGAUCAUAUCUAUGUACAUCUCAAAACUAAAAAUUUAUAUGUACAGAUCAUAUAUACAACUACAAAUUUUGAUUUAGUAUGAUUGUUCAGUACCAAAGUGUAUCUAUUUCUCUAACAAAAACACUACAAUUACUUUCUUGCUGAUUGCCCAACAUUAUGGUUUAGUUUCUUCCUACUAUUUGCCCUUUAUUCAAAUUAGUAUGCAUACAAAGCAUUCAUUCACAAGAAAAACAUGUUUGUUCCAAGCUAAUCAGGAAUAGGAGCUUAUGUAUAUUCUCAGUUCGGAGAUGAGAAAUUGAUUUCUAGCUAAUCAGGAAUAUGAGCUUAAGAACAAGACCAAGCAAGCAAGAACAUUAUGAACCAGAUCAAAAUACCUCUUCUAGGUAGGCAACUCAUCCAUUUCGCUCCGAAGCCACAUGACCGCACUCUCUUCUUGAAGUUUGAUGAACAUGUAAGAUAACAAAGAGCUCGCUAUUACAUUAUAACAAAGAGCAUCAUAAAUGUUUGUUCUAAGCUAAUCAGGAAUAAGAGCUUAAUUAUAUUCUCAGUUCAGACAUGUGCAUGCAUAUGCUCAGUUAGCAACCACAUAAAUAUACUACAACUAGUCAUCUCAGAUGAGAAAUUGAUUUCUAGCUCUUGUCUGCAUGUAUUUUACUCAUCUUAGCAAAUCACACCAGUAACAGUUAACUUCGACCAGUUUUGAAUUUCAUCAACAUCUAACACAGGACAAUGUAGAUAUAUUUUUAGCACAUAGUGCCAAAAUUAAUCAGAUUGAUGUUAUACCAAUGAAACUUAUGUGCAGCAAAAUGAUUCUCUACUCACAUUUCUGCACUACAUCCAAUUGUCAAUAUCUAAUACAAAAUGGUUGGCUGUAUUUUGUUACUUUGUUAUCAGAUAUGUACUAUAUGCUAAUAAUAAUGGGAUUUUUUUUACUAUGGAGUAUAAAAUCAGUACAGAAAGGUAGAGAUCCUACUUGAGCAUCUACAUGUAUAAUUUUAAGGCAUAGAUAAAUGACAUCAAAAAAGGGUUGGAGUUGUCUUGAAUAGUAGUCCAGAUCUUGCAGCAACUAACUUCAAAUAGGGGGAGGUGGAAUGUUAUGGGGAAGCAGGCAGAGGAACAACAGGGAGGGUCUCUCACAGCGGUUGUGCUGGAAAGGGGAGAGGAGCUGGUGGN